rnacentral:lncRNA from 1 species
CAGCUUCGGACUUUCAAUUGCUACUUCUGUAAACCUAGGCGUCAUAGACACUGACACGAAAUACGACACGAUUCGAAUAAAAUUAAGACACGGACACAACAUAGAUGCCGCUAAUAAAAUAUAAUAAAAUUAUUAUAAUAAUAUAUUUUUAUUAUAUAUAAAAUAUUAAUUUUGAUAAAAUAUUAUUAUAUUUUUCAUACGAAUAAAAAUUAAUAAAAUUUUUAUUUAUUCACAUAUUUUAAAAAAAGAAAAUUCUCCGUCAUAAUAAUUCAUUUAUAUUGUCACAAUAAUUAUAUACAUUCAUCAAAAAACUAAAAUAUUUAUUAUCUUACAGUAUAUAUGCAUAAAAAAAUAAAAUAAAAAUAUGCAUAUAUUUUUUUAAAUUGUAUGUGAUAUAAAUCUACAUUGAACGCAUGUCCAAAGAGUAUCCACGUCGGACAUGCGUUCGAUACGAAUACGCAUGUCCGACACGAACACGCGAGGCUUAUAGAAAUAUCCGAGUAACAAAGAAGCAUAAACUAGUCAGAAGAAACAUUGAUGAAAAAUGGCACACAGAAAUAAUACAUAUUUAUAAGGCACUUAGAACGAUGCACUUAGAACUACUACACAACAACCCAGGAACAUAUAUGAAGUAUAUUGAAUUAAGGGCUGACAACAGAGUUCAAAGGUUUCUAACAGCAGGAACAGCAAUGACAAUACAGAGUAGAACAAACAUAACAACAACUCACUCAACGGAAAGAUAUAUAGGACGACGAAUGGAUAAGACAUUCUCAAGACCAAACAAGCAUAUGGGUUAUAUACCUCCGGUCACUUCUACAUUUCCUCCUGCGCCUCCUCCUCCUCAUCCUCAUACUCACCUUCCUCAUCAGCAGUGGCAUCUUGAUACUGCUGAUACUCUGAUACGAGAUCAUUCAUAUUGCUCUCAGCUUCAGUGAACUCCAUCUCAUCCAUGCCUUCCCCAGUGUACCAAUGCAAGAAGGCCUUCCUCCUGAACAUAGCUGUGAACUGCUCGCUCACCCUCCUGAACAUCUCCUGUAUGGAGGUUGAGUUACCUAUGAAAGUAGAUGCCAUGGAGAGGCCUCUUGGCGGUAUAUCGCACACACUUGAUUUCACGUUGUUGGGGAUCCACUCGACAAAGUAGGAAGAGUUCUUGUUUUGGACAUUGAUCAUCUGCUCGUCGACUUCUUUGGUGCUCAUCUUGCCACGAAACAUGGCAGAGGCAGUGAGGUAGCGGCCGUGGCGGGGGUCAGCAGCACACAUCAUGUUCUUGGAGUCCCACAUUUGCUGGGUGAGCUCAGGGACAGUGAGGGCCCGGUACUGCUGGGACCCACGGGAGGUAAGAGGGGCAAAGCCGACCAUGAAGAAGUGGAGGCGUGGGAAGGGGAUGAGGUUGACGGCAAGCUUGCGGAGGUCAGAGUUGAGCUGGCCCGGAAACCGGAGGCAGCAAGUAACCCCACUCAUGGUGGCGGAGAUCAGAUGGUUCAGAUCUCCAACUGAUAAAAAAAAAGGGUAGAACAUUUAAAUAAAUAUACAUCCAUGCUGGCUGUACACAGCAAUAGUCAUCUAAUACCACUGAAGCAUGUUUAUUGCAUAUUUAUCUGAUGACUCUCAUUUUGGACAUGUUUUCGUUCACUCAGAUAUGCAAUUUAAAAGCAAUUCCUAGGGACGUUUAGCAAACUACUACUGGGUGAUGCACCUCAUUUAUGUCCUCGAAGCAUCCAAUUAUAAACAUACAAAUGCAAAGUCUAGGAAAAAUAUAUAAAUACAUAAUGUACUACCAACUAUGAAUCAAUACCAUCACAACAACAACUCGAGUUUCUAUCUCCAUCUUUCGAAAAGUAAACAUUAUGAAAACCAUGUGCAACCAGAAAUGUGCAUUACAAUAUUUCGUAUAUCAUUGCAAAGUUCAUGCACUUAAGGCCUCUCCAAAUAAAGCUCAUCUACAUCACUAAUAUUUCAUGUUUCCAUCCUAUCCCCAAAAAUUUAACUUCAAUGCACCAUAUGUUUAGUUAGUAAGUACUUACACAUGCAUGAAGAGAAUAGCAAUAUGCUAAGGGGAAACAUUUUCCCAUUAUAAGCAAUUCCAGUGCAGGCCAUCCAUCCAGUUUUAUAUCCAUGCAUACAGAUAAUUGCCGGGCAAAUAAAACAAGGAGGCAAUCAAGCAGUCAUUUUCAGAACGCCAAAUGAAUAAAUCAUAAGAUUGCGUAAAUUCAGCAAUUUGCAAUACUGACAGAAAAUCUGAUUUCGACAACAUAACAUUUUAUUAUUCAAUAAAGCCAACUAAUACUUGGGACCAAAAUAUUCAUGAAAUUGCCACACUAAAUGUUUAUCCUACAAAAAGUCAUCGCAUCUCUCAAUAGCAAGGAUUUAAGUGUCGUGGCACGGGGUCAUGCCGGAAACUUGCCGGCACGGUACGGCACAGUGCGUGCGAUGCGUGCCGGUCAAAAAAAUUCUUGUGUUCCGACACAUAAUAGCAUUAAAUAUUUAUUUUCUUUAACAACAAAAUAUUCUAACUACUUAUUAUAUCUUUUUAUCACAUCUUUUGAAUUUUAUUGAGGAAAUUACUUACUAAUUUAAAGAAUAGAGAGUUUUGAGCUGUGUCAUCGGCACAGGGUCUGUAUCGUGCCGGUAUCUUGUUGGCACGGUACAGCACGGUAGAUACGGCUCGUGCCGACGGGUACUUAAAACCUUGCUCAAUAGUAAACAAUAUGAGAAAGGAUUCGUAACAUUUGCAAGGUAAAGCAAAAGAAAAACUUACAGCUAGGAGUGGUCAGCUUCAGAGUCCGGAAGCAGAUAUCAUAGAGGGCUUCAUUGUCAAGAACCAUGCACUCAUCUGCAUUCUCCACUAGCUGGUGGACAGAAAGAGUGGCAUUGUAGGGUUCGACGACAGUGUCCGAAACUUUGGGUGAUGGGAAAACUGAGAAGGUCAUCAUCAUGCGGUCGGGGUACUCCUCUCGGAUCUUUGAUAUCAAUAGUGUGCCCAUGCCAGAUCCAGUUCCUCCACCAAGAGAAUGGCACACUUGGAAACCUAAUUACAUAAAAUUAGAUUAGAAUUUGAAAUCAAGUACAUGCAGAACAGAUAAAACAAACAGAGUACAGUGAGUUGAGCUCAAUGCAUAUUAUAAACAUUUAAGGGAAAAAGGCAAGCAAGCAAUCUCGAUUCAGUAGGAUAUACAUAAAUAAACUUCUAGCCUUCAAGGACAUCUAUCUACUAGGCGAAAAAGGACAUCUAUCCACUAAAUAAAACAAAAUGGACCAUCUCAAAAAGGGAAGGAUAGAGAGAAUAAACUAGUCACAAAAUGGCAAAAAUAUGACAGCUAAAAAGUGUUAGAAUGUUAAAAAUUAAAGACACUCGAGUUAAACUUUAGAGAUAUGAAAGAAAAUUCUAUUGUAUUAUUAAGAUACACGUCGAGAAUGUCCGAGAGAUCCAAAAUUGUUGGAGUAUUACCAAAACACCUUGAAAGAAUGAGAGGUACACGAUCAAAUUUCACAGAGAAAGCUUAAAGGUGAAAAAGAAAUGUGAACUCAUGAAAGAUUGGCGGUAUUUUUACAUUUCCCCCAUACAAAUCAAUGAUAUUGAUACAUCUCAAGCUACUUGACAGUUUAUAGGUUAUACAGCAACGCAGGAUAGAUCGAUCUUACGUGAAGCUUAAAACAUUUAAGGUGCUAAUGGAUCGUAAAGGAAAAUUGAAAGAAUAAAAAGAAAACAACGAAACAGAUUCAUAAUCUCACUACCUUGGAGGCAAUCACAGUUCUCUGCCUCCUUCCUCACUACAUCGAGCACGGCAUCGAUGAGCUCGGCUCCCUCAGUGUAGUGCCCCUUGGCCCAGUUGUUCCCCGCACCCGACUGACCGAAGACAAAGUUGUCGGGACGGAAGAUCUGGCCAUAGGGCCCGGUGCGCACACUGUCCAUGGUCCCGGGCUCAAGGUCCAUGAGCACUGCUCGUGGCACGUAGCGCCCGCACGAGGCCUCGUUGUAGUACACAUUGACGCGCUCGAGCUGCACAUCGGAGUUGCCUACAUACUUUCCAGUGGGGUCGAUCCCAUGCUCGUCGCACACGACUUCCCAGAAUUUGGAUCCGAUCUGGUUCCCGCAUUGCCCACCCUGCACGUGGAGGAUCUCCCUCAUCUUUGCCUGGAAAGAUGAGGCCGAUUAGCCGGAAAGCGGAUCAGAGCACGGAUCAGAUAAGAAUUAUACAGAAAAUAAGAUGAAUUAAACAAAAAUCACACAGGCAUUGCUAGAAACCUAGAUUUACGGGCCUCAGAGGUUUAGAUCUAGAAUUUUAUCUACACACAAGGUCUAUUUGGGGCCAGAUCUACGAUCAAACAAGGUUUAGAGAACAAAUCGAUUCAGCAGCAAAUUUGAAGAAUUUAUGCUAUAGAAAAAAAAAAAAAAAAAAAAAAAAAAAAAAAAAACAGAAGCUGCAAUAAGAAUUCAAAAAUACGAAUGUACGAGGACUAGAUCAAAGGUUUAGAAAUUAGAAAUCGAAUAAUUUUACAAGAAAAUGAUCAAAAAAUAGGAAAAUAAUUGAUUCAUAGAACAAAACAGUUCAGGAAACUAAUUGAUCAAACAUUACAAGCACAGGAGGAUAAGAUCAACGGUUUAGUGAUUAAAAAUCGGAAAAAUUACAAGAAAAUAAUAAAAAAAAUCACGAAAAUUGGGUGAAACCGGACGCAGGGAUUAGAUCGAAAUGUGUUACCGACGAAUUUGGGGAUUUGGAUUUCGACGCGGACGACGACGGAGAUUGAGAAGGGAAAAAAGGGAUCGGACGGAGUACGGGGAGUGGUCUUCGAGUCUAUAUAUUGGGGGGAGUGAGGAGAGCUGGAGUGAGAUCGGACGGCUGGCAAGCGUUCCCUCCAUUUGUUUUGUAGGUGGUUGGAUGCCGUUGGAUCGAGAUAUCGAACGGUUGGUGGGGCCCGAUGUUUCCUGCAUUUGAAAUGGUUUUUUUGGGCGUUAGAUGACGAAAAUGCCCUUGGAAAUUUUUCUGUGGGUAGGGACAGUUGGUGAGUACGGAGGUCGGAGGAGGGGACUUUCCUCGUUAGUUUCACCGGACGAAGUAACGGUCGGGUCAGUUGGCCAUAACGGAGUUAAGUAGCGGCGUUCCUGAUUUUUUUAAUGAAUUACAUGUCUAAUUUUAUUUAAAAAAAAAAUUUACCAAAUUAAUCUUUUUUUAGUAUCCUUUAAUCUAGCCUCAUUUUGAUUCAUUAGAAAAAAAUUAUUAAAAAAUAUUUUUUGGUGAUGAUUAGUGAGAGAAUUUUUUCUCUCUUCUCCCUCUUUUCAAGCAUGUCCUCUUUCUCCCACCUCUCCGUGUCAUAAUAAAAUAAUUGAGCGUGGUUUCAAUGGUAAAAUUAACGGAAUUUAGUUCUGAACGAAAUAUAAAGAAAAAAAUUCUAUCCUUUCACGAUUUAUAUUUGAUGCUUCACCUACUACUAAGUUAAGACUACUAUGAAACAAGAUAAAGUUCUAUGAAGUUGUAGAGGAUCCGCUUGUACGGAGGGAGCUCUUGCAUUUAUAUAGAAGGGAUCUAGGCUACAUAGUAAACUUUCUUGGUCACUUAAAACGCCUAGAAUGCAAAUAGUUAUAUUUCUGAUGUUGUAUUUCUAAUCAAUUAAAUUUUUUUUCUGAAAUUUAUCCAUCCUAUCAUAUUUUAAAAAAAUAAAAAUUUAUAAAAACUAAUUUUUAAUAAUUUUAAUAUAUUUAAAUUAAAUUAAAUAUUUUAAACAUAUUUUGUUUUUAUAUAAUAUAUCUCAAAAGCUGGAUUUGGGUAUUAUGCGAGCAGCUGAUCGACAUGUUUAUAAAGUGUCGAAUCGAGUAAAAGUCAUUUUAGCACGAAAUGAAUGUGAAAACAACCUCAGAACAUCAAAAUCUGCUGAAAUUAAAGUUCUUGGAAUUUUUGGACACUCGAAAGAUGUUUGGAGCGCCCGGACUCACUGUGCAGAUUCUAAUGGCUGCUCCUUCUCCGUCCAUUAUUCUUUCUCUCCCUGCUGGUGCUAUAGCAGAGAACCUCCCUGACGAGCCGAGCCGAAGCUCCUCUUCACAGUGAAGCAUGGUUUGUUAGCUAAGACCUGCUCAUGGCUGAGAAGGAGAAGUAGAGAUGUGGAUUACUUCUUCCCUGCUGAGGUAGGUAAUGUCGAGCUUUAGUUAGUUUUUUAUCAUUAGAUUUUUGGAGUGAGUUUUUUUAUUUUGUUUUAGUUUUCCUAGCAGUGUGUUCUGCUUGUUAGAGAUGAUUUCGUGGGAGACUUUGGAGCUGUUGUCUCAGUUUUCCUGGUGCUGCGAAGGUGUUGUUGGUUGCAUUUCCAGGUGGGUAUAAAUUACUAAAAUGAUGAUCUUCUUACUGUAUCUAAAUUAGAAAUUCAGUAUGUAUACAUAUAUAUCAUCUUGUUGAUGUAAAAUGAAUUUAGCUCUAGGAGCCAUGGUUUGACUGUAUCGUUGCAGUAUCAGUGCGAUGGAUACCUGGGGUAGUUUAGAAGGCAUUUACGUUCGUGCUGGGCUGCCGAGCUUAUUUUCUUCAGCAGAGUUUAGGCUGUUUCGGGUCGUUGGGUGCCGUCCGGGUUGGCGGUGGACCCAGAUUCUUGUUUUGGUCACAGAUUGUGCCGAGGGCACGUGGGUUUGGUUUGUAGACCUGUUUUGACCCUGUUUACAUGAUUUUGGCUAGUUGGAGCCUGUUUGAGCUCGACAGAGAUACGCUGCAUACUCGGUUGGGUAGCUCCCACUAGUGCCACUCCGGAGACGGGCGUUGUGCUUUUGCGUUGGUGUCGUGCAUGCCAGUUAGACUUGCUCUCUACGGACUGAUUAGUGUGGAGGUAGCUGGAUAGUUUCAACUGGGUGGAACGGGUGUGUUCACAGUCCCUGGGACGGGUAUGUUUACAGUCCCUAAAAAAAUUGGGUCGGAAUUAACAUUACUACAAUAGGCCAGCAUAGAACAUGAUGGUAUAAUAAAUGGUAGUUGUAGAUUUUUAUUCCGAGGCAAGGGCGUCACGAGUUAGAGCCCUACCAGACGUGCUGAGCUAGAGGUACCCCUACUGCAGAUAGAUGUUUUGUUUUGAGUUUAUGUACAUAGUAUACUUAACUCGCCAGUGCGAGUAGCUCUGUAUUUUUGGUAUUGGACUAUGUAUAUGGAACUCCGUUUGUUUAGCUUCUGUUUACUCUAGUAGCUUUAUACUACUGUUUGUAGUAUUGUAUGGUUUAUAGGUACAGCUGUCGCUUCAUAUACAGAAAAAAUUUCUUUGUAUACGGCGGAUUUGUCGGCGUGCCCGGGGAACGUGUAAUCCGGGGCGUGACAGGAUCCUAACGGCGGGGACAUAUUUAAAAAUAUUAGAAUUUUUGUAAGAAUAACACAAGAAAAUUAAACUUUGUAGCGAUAUAUUUGUAAUUCGCUAUAUUUACAUGAGUUAUAUGCAAUUAAUCCAAAGACUAAACUGUGACGCUCAUAUAGAGCGAUGCAGUGUCUCCAACCAAUCAAAUUGCUCUUUUGGAGUUCACCCAUCCCAUUAUAUUUUUUAGCAAAAAAAUUUAAUUGUAUUUUUUUUUCUCAAAAUGAAUAUAAUUAGCUGGACAUAAAUAAUGUGACGUAAUUGUUACAUUGUAAACUUUCUCUUUUGUUGUAUACAUCUAGGAGUGUAAACGAGCCGAACAAGAGCGAGCUGGAGUUAGCUUGUGUUCGGCUCGUUUAAUAAACGAGUCGAAUACGAACUGGCUCGUUAAAGUAUUGAGCUGAAAAAUUCAGCCGAACACGAACUGGCCAACAAAUAAUAAAUUAAAAAGAUUAGAUUGAAUAUAUAUAAAAAAUAAAUUAUAAAUCUUAUCAUUAGACUUUUAAUUAAUAAUGAAAUUUAACAUAUAAAUUCUUAAUAAAUUGAAGCUCGCCUUCUACUAUUUUAGUCUGGUCUAAAUAUAAAUAAAAAAAAAUAUAUAUAUAUAUAGAAUAUUAUUUAUAUAAAGAAAAAAUUAAUAAAUCUAUACACAUAUAAUAAUAUAAAUAAAUAAUAAUAAUAACAAAUAUAAUAAUUAUAUAUAUAUAUGAAUAUCUGCAAAUCUAUUAAUAGAACGCUAUCUUUUGCUCAAUUUAAAAAAUCCUUGAAAUAAAAAUGUAGGGUCAGGAUGAAUAGUUCAGGAUACUUGAUGGCCCCCCUAGUGAGUGGUCCCCAUUGCGCUGUUGUACUAGUAUACCAAGGUAGAAUAAAGAAAAGACGUAUCCAAAAGGCUAAAAAAUUGGUAGCACCAAAGAAUUUCUAACAUAUACCAGUCAACUCAUAUAAUAUAAUAUAUAUAAUAUACAAAUAUAAUAUAUCGACCUGUUAUCGAGCUGAACAUAAGCGAACUGACCCCAGCUCGUGUUCGGCUCGUUUACUAAACGAGCAAGUCGAUCUCGAGCUCAUUUCGAGCCGAACACGAGCCGGCUCACGAACAGCGAGCUGGAUUGCCACCCUUAAUACAUCUAGUACUUUUUUUUUUUAUUAAAUAUCAGAUGCAAUAAGCAUGUCUUAGAUAGAGAAAGUCUAUUGUGGCAAUCACAUCAUAUCUAUUAAACAUAAUGAAUCCACAAUGUUUCUUGCCACGUGGCAAGAUACCUUUCAUUCUUAGGUUAAUAGAUAAUAUUUAUCUCUUAUAUGAAUCCCCAAUAUAAAAUUUAUGUUUCUUCUCCACUUCUAAAUGCGUAAUCCUUCACCUCUCCAUAUUUAAUUACAUGCAUUAUAUUUUACCAAUUAGUGAGCUUUGUAACUCCAAUCCACUCCCCUCCACUAUUAAUCAUUACUUCUAAAUACUAUGCUAAACCCUUCAUCUCUCCACAUUUAAUUGCAUACAUCAUAUUCUAUCAAUUAAUGAGCUUUGUAAUUCUAAUCCACUCCCCUCCACCAUUAAUCUCCACUUCUAAAUGCUCAACCCUUCACCUCUCCACAUUUAAUUACAUGCAUUAUAUUUCAUCAAUUAGUGAGCUUUGUAACACCAAUCUACUCCCCUCCACCAUUAAUCCCCUCACCCCCUCUUUCUUGCAUGACAUGUUAUUUUUCAUGCAAAAAGAAACAUUAUCAUCUAAUCUCUCACCCCACACUCAUCUCCUUCUCUCUAUCUCAUUGUGUUAACAAAGAUUAUGAGGAUGAUAAAGAAGAAGAACAUGCGAAGAACGUUGUCUCCUUCAAAAAAUAUCGUCCUGUAAAGUCCAGCCGCGGCCCAUAUAAAUGCUCGCUGGGCUGGUCUGCACCGGAGCCGUCGCUCGCCGUGAACCGCCGCCGCUUCGGCUGCCUCCUUGCACGGCUCGCACGUGCCCGCAACUAGGCCGAGGGGAGCGCCGUCUUAGCCUUCUCUUCGCGGCGAUGUUUCGCGGGAGCUCGCUUCUCAAAAAUUGCAGGAACUUCUUGGUAAAUCAAAUUGUUUAAGAAUAAGGAUUUCUGUGGUUGAUGUGAUGGCAAGACUGUAUCGGUUUAGAUAUCGCAGUUUGGUGAUGCAGAUGAGGUGUUUGUUCAUAGGUUACAAUAGAAAUCCAGAAAUGACUCGGCACGCGGAGCAACUACCAGUUGAAGAUUAAGAAGAUGUAUGAGAUUUGGAUGAGUAAGAGAAGUGCUCCAAAAAAAUAUUAAUUUUUUUAAGAUUGAUGUUUUUUGUUUUAUUUUCAUAUUAUGAUCAUUUUUUUGAGUAGACACUGUUGUGGGCAAAAUUUCUUUCGUAGAUUAAAAAGUAUGAUGCGGAGAUUGGAGUCUGAGACGCCAACCAAAAUUUUCUUAAGGCAGAUACGUUAAGUUAUUAUUUAUGUAUUUCAUAUGCUUUUAGCUAUUAUUUUAUUUUUUUAACAACUGAAUUUAGUCAUGUAAAUUGACUGUACUUAACAUGAUAUAGCUUUCUAUAAGCUAUAAAUAUAAAUUUUAUUAAAAUAUUAAAAAUUUAUUUUUAUUAUCUAUCUGUUGCAUCGCGCGGGUCUCUACACUAGUUAUCUAUAAUUAGCCAAUAAUAUUUUGCUAAAAAUCAAAAUAGGGUGGAGUUUUUGGGCUACUAAGCCUCCAAAAUCUUAUAAGUAUAAAAAUAGGCAUUUAAAAUUUUUAUUUCUAAAAAUAGAUUGAUAAAAAUAAUGAAUUAUUUAUCAUUUUUUUAAAAGCGGUGAAUGAUUCACCACAUUUAUCCUAAUUUAUAUAUUUUCUACGUCCAAACUUCAAAAUGUAUAUAAUAUUAAAUACUAAAAAUAGUUUUAAUUAUUUAAAGAAAGUGAUGAAUGACUUACUAUAUUUAAAAGUGAUAGUUUAUUCGCCGUUCUAAUUUUAUAAAUAAUUUUUUUUUGAGAGAUAAGUAGCACGCUAUUCGUUUCGUUUAUUUUAUUUAGAAAUAAAUUUAGCUGAAAAUAUGAAUUAAUUAGGAUUCGAAUAUAAAAUCUCGAAUACCAACCAUCAAACCUUUAGCCAAUUUAGAGUACUAUUUUUAUAAGGGAAAAUUUCAAAAACCCCCCUUGUGGUUUCGUAGUUUCUCACUUUGCCCCCCUGUGGUUUAAAAUGUAUCAAUUAGACCCCCUGUGGUUUCUUUUUUCUCUUUUUUUUUUUUAUCAUUUUCAUUAUCUUUUUUUUUUCUUAAAUCAGUGAUAAAGUUAAAAUUAAGGGGUACUAAAGUGAAUAUUUGAUAAAUCUAGAUGGAUAUCUGAAGUUUUUUGAAUAUAAUUUAAUAAAAUAUUAACGAAAAAGCUACCGAAAAGAUAAAAACGAAACCACAGGGGAGGAGGGAGAAUUGAUACAUUUUAAAUCUAGAGGGGCAAAAUGAGAAACGAUGAAACCACAUGGGUUCUUUUUUAAAGUUUUCCCUUUUUAUAAUUGUAGUACGUUCGAAGAGUAUUAAUAAAAGAGAUUCUAAUAGAGUGGUCGCAAAGUGGACGGCGGUCCGACGUGGCACUGCGUGGGACGCCUGUAACGGUCAAGACUUUUUCUCCCGUCGGCGUUAAAAGGAUCGGACUACUCGAGUGAGAGAGGCGGCGGAGACGACGAGGGCGUCGGAAUAGGAUGGGGGACGAGGUGGCGGCGAGCCGUCUGUUCCGGAUCCGACGGACGGUGAUGCAGAUGCUGCGGGAUCGGGGCUACCUGGUGUUGGACUUCGAGAUCAACAUGAGCAAAGCCGAGUUCCUCCACAAGUUCGGCCCCGACUGCAUCCGCCGCGACGACCUCCUCAUCAACAAAUCCAAGAAGAACGACCCCGCCGACCAAGUAUAUCAUUAUUACCACCACUAUACUCUUACUCUUCUGUUCGAUUUGUCGUUUUCUUCGGGAUUUUAGGUCGAUUUCUCUUGAAUUGGCUUAAGAACUCAUCUUGCCUUUCUCACGCCCCCAGGCUUCGGUGGAAGCACCCAUCCGCCGUACGUGUAUGGCUCUCCCAUACGUACGAAGCGACAACCGGAAACAUGCACUUCUAUAUAUGCAUACACACAAGGAAAAAUAUAUGAUUUUGGGUAUCAAAGUAAUGAAGUUCAACUAUUCUAUCAUCCAAUCGGUACAUUCUGAAAUAUAAAUUCUAAUACCCUCUCGAAUAUGCCAAAAGGGGUGGAAAGCUAUCUAUCGCGCGAUGCCCUUAGCUCGGUACCCCGCAGAAGAAGAAGGAGCUGAAAAACNAUUCUAAUACCCUCUCGAAUAUGCCAAAAGGGGUGGAAAGCUAUCUAUCGCGCGAUGCCCUUAGCUCGGUACCCCGCAGAAGAAGAAGGAGCUGAACAACAACAACAAUGGAUGUAAGAGCUACUAUAAAUAGUUUCAGUGGGUACAGUAGCCGAAAGGGGUGCUAUACUCCACUAGGUCUAAUAGAGGCAUCAAUAAUGUGAAUAAGACAAGAGCGAUAAAGGAGAUAAAUUAAUAACCAACAUGAAGCUCCUAAUAUGCCUUUCCUAAAGUUUCACCUAGACAAUACUGAUGUUCACCAUGCCCAAUUUCACCGACCGACUCGUAGUUCGGUCAAGCUCGCACAUUUCGGCUCUUAUGGGCUAUAGUCACAUACUUAAGGUCAAAAUGCCACAUUUGCAACAACUAUAAAAAUCUUCUUGGUACUUUGUCAUUUUCAUCGAACAUGUGAUAGGCAUCUCCAAUGUCAUAGUCUCAAAUAACUUCAAACAUUACUCAUUCGACAUUAAACUAUCUUGGCAUGUUAUUUAAGUUGAUUUACCUUAUGUCAAAGGAACAACAACAAUGAUAGGGCAUGCUAGGACAUAAUGUUUCAAAACCUCAACAUGAAUCAACUUGCUCGUGAACUAGGGUUUCCACAUAUGAUCAGGUAUAACAAGUAAACAUUGAGUUUCUACAAUUAAGUGCCGCAGGAUGCUAGAAGGUAGAAAACAACUAGAAACAAGAAGUAAGAAGAUAUAGUGGGAGAUCACCUUUUCUGGUAAACUAGGGUCCGCGGAAUCUCGUUGAAACUUUGUCGUAAACUCAAUCAAAGUUGUUAGUCCACCAAACAACCCUACAAGAAGGGUUUCAAUACAUCAACAACAACUAAAGAGCCCUAGAAUCUAUUUUUUUUUCCAAAUUUUUCCAAGAAAUACUGCCUAUAAGGAAUCUCCCCAACAAAAUCCUAAAAGAUCACAUACAAGGAGUUCAAAACAUUCAUCUUAUCUAUACAACGGCCUAGCUCUUAGAUCCAAGCACCGUGCUUCUAGGGUUGGAGUCUCCAAGGCUUCUUUUAUCAAGCAUUGCCUCAACUUCGAGCUUGGAGGAAUGGAGAUCUCUAGAGGAAGAAGAUGACGUGGGGUGUUAGGGUUUUGCGGGGGAAGAAGAAAAAGAGAGGAAAAAGAAGAAGUAGAAGAUGGAGGAGUGGGGGGGAAUGGGGUUUCUCUUGUAGAAGGGGGGUGAAAGGGAGAGAAAGGGUUGUGUUUAAAUAGAGUUGUAACAAGAGUAACUAGCCCCCAAACAAAAGAAACUAGCAACAACUAUCAAUCUCAGCCCAUAAGAGGUUUCGGGUGCCCGGAAGAACUUUUGGGCGCUCGAAAGUUUGCGACUAUUGAGUCCAAAACUCUCGAGUUAAGCAUUCGAAUUGGUUUCCGGUGCCCACUUGCUAGUCCGAAAUGUUUCAGGCGCUUGCGGGGCAAUAUGGGCGCCUAAAAGUUUAAUGGUUCGAGCUAGUGUCUCUCUUAGUCUGAGCAUUUAAAACUGAUUCAGACCCCCGCUCUCUUGUCCGCAGGAUUCGGACGCCUACCGAACAAGCUGUACGCCCGAAAUAUUAAUAACUUGCGCUAAGAUAGCUUUCAGUCUGAGCGUUUGGUACUGAUUCAGACGUCCGCAUUAGAAGGUUUGAAACAUUUCGAGCGCCUGAAUUUCCUUUUUGGGCGUUCGCAAAUCAGAGAGGCGCCAACCCAUUUCCGGGCGCCCGCAAUAAUUUACAGGCAUUUGGAUGACUAGAAAAUUCUAGAUCUUUAGUUUUCAUGUCAACUUCGCACCAAAACCACUCAAAUUCCUCUCUAACCUUUUCAAAACCUUCUAAAUAGUAUCAAAUACUAUUUUAUAUUGAAACUUUGCUAAUUACAAAAGUUCAUUAUACUAAAGUCUUAUUAAAUUUUUGGGCUAAAUAAACAUCCUCUAAUCUAAAGACGUUUCUCAAAGGAUCGCCUAGACUUUAAAUUCUGGCAACUAGAUCUCCUGAACUUUUAUCAAAUAGUUCAUUCGGCUCCUUCCCUCGAGCGACGUUACUAAUAAAAUAACGUGUUGGUGGCAUGCCUUACAGAUGAUCAUGUAAAACUUUGAAACACAAAAUGGAAACUACUACUCUUUUCACGGAUAAAAAUAACCAUAAUGAUGGUAGAAUAAGCUUAAUCCAUCUCUGAUUUUUUUUUUUUUUUUUUUUUUUAAAUGUUGGAGUAGUAAGACUGGUAUUUAUGUUAUUUAGAGCUUCACAAGAUCACAUGUAAGAUAUUUCUUGAGAAUAGUUGUAAUUGGUAUCUUUCUUUGAGAAGAAGGGCCCAAUGGACUAUUCGAUAAAGUUUAGGGUGUCCAGUUGCCAAAGUUUAAAGUUCAGCAGCCCAUUUGCUGAAGCUCCAAAGUUUAGGGGGUGUUGUACAUUUUUCCCUAAAUAUUUAUUUGUUUCAUGGGAUUGAAUGGCGUACUGAAUGCUGGAAACCAUGCUCAAGGUUUUUUCUGAAAUAAAAUUCUGGGUUAACUUGCAUAUGCUUUGCAUAGAUCGCCAGGUCAGUUAUUGUUAAAUUCUUUAGUUGGUAUAUUGAUUGCUACAUAUGUGUCGAAGUUAGAAAAUUUUUACUUUAUUCCUGUUUGCAAUCAAUUUGUCUGGUGUAUUUUCUCCUUUUCUCUGUUAUGUAAAUUCUCUUGAGCUAAUUGUUUUUUUUUUCAUUUUCUGAUUGUAGAGUGAUUAUUUGCCGAUUAUAUGAACUAAAGGUCAGUUUUUUAGUUUAAUCUCUCUUAAAUUAGCUUCAUACUUGAGGUUCUCUUAUUAAGCUAUGCUAAAUGGGCAUGUUUUGUAUUCAUACAUGUGUGAUGAGUUUGAAACUGUAGCUUAAUUGAAUUUAUUCAUUGGUUGCCUGCUGUCUUUUUUCUGUUAUAUUUCAAUUUAUGUAGGUUAAUUCAUUUUUACUGAUUGUGGGGGCUAAUUAAUGACUAUAUUUGUUAAAAGAGGUUGGUUUUUUAGCUUAAUUAUCUCAAAAUUGGCUUAAAAAUUCAGUUGGUUUAUCAACCUCUUCUUUAUUUGACGGGAUUCUAGAAGCUCGAAACCUUUCUGAAGAUUUUUGUUGAAUUUAAUUCUAGGUUAACAUGCAUAUACUUUGCAUCAGUCCUAGGUUCAAUUACUGUUCAAUUUCUUAGUUGGUUUACAUAUUUAUCUUGGUGAUAUUUCUAUUUCCUGGUAUUCAUUAAUUUACUAGUUUGUAUCUGGCCCCCACCCCCAAUCUUUCUCUUUGCUAAAUCGCUAAUAGUGCAGGUUUUUUUAGCACCCUGGUAGCGGAAGCACCACUGCGAAAUGCAUUUGUCGUAGGCCCGUCGCAUACUUAAGAUUUCAAGUUUGCUUGGCAUUAAUAUCAAGUAACCUUGUGCAGUUUACAUCUUACCAAACAACUCGCAUGUUUGAAACUUCCAAAUUUGAUAUUACAUUUUUAAUACAAGUUCAUACAAGUUUUAGUUCCAAUAUAAUCUAAUACAUGCCCAAAAUGAUAAUCCAAAAUACAAGGAUAAGAUCCACAUGUACAAAGAUGGAGGCGAUCACAAUAUGUUACUAAGUAAUCGUCAUUGUCUUGCUCAAUCUCAUCCCUGUGGUCAUACUUGAAAAAUUAUAAAAAUCACAUAAUGAGAAUUAUACACAAUAGUUUCUAAUGGAAGCUGCUCCCAAAGAUGAUAAGCCUCACUGAGCCUGAUAGUAUGUGAUCAAUGGAGAGAUAAACAAUGUUAUGAAUGACCAAUAUAUACAUAGAGUCUACCUAUUAUGAUAAAUAGUUUGUAACUAUAUACAAUAGGAAAACAAUGAUAACAUAGAGUAAGUAUAACCAACUAGAACGGCCCAAACAGAUAUGACUUGAUCCAAGAUCGAGAAAAUGCAUAAACGCGGCACCCUGGCCUUAGUUGCAAGCAUUCUCAACUCAGGGAGCAAAGGACUUACCGUGUUGGGCGCGACCAUCACCGAUAACCCUCUCAUGCCUUCUCCCGUCCCAACUCCCACAUACAAAGUCAUCCCCGGUGGCCCACAGAGUAACAUAAGCAUAGUGGCAAGUCCAAAUAGGGCUAAUGUUUCAAACAACAACUCUAUGUUGGGAAUAAACAAGUAUCUGGUUUGAAUUCAACAGUAUUGCAGAGUACAAAGAACUAAGUCCAACACUAUACCACCUAUCCACAAAAGGCAUGGCUCUACUAAUACAACAUGGUAGCAAAAAUCAUUUUAGAGCAUGUAAUUAUAUCUCAUGACAGCAUGUACAACAACAGUAGAUAAACAAUGAGAACAUGGACUUGUAGAACAACGAGGCAAGUAACAGAGAUCAUGAAUUCGAUUAAUGACGACAUAUGCACGCAUGAUAGUAAAGGAACUGCUAGACUUUAUCAUUUUUGGUAAAUUUUUGAUAUCAGAGUUGUUGAUUUCAGAGUUGAAUUUUUUGCUAAUUUUAUUAAAUUAUAUGAUAUAGAUCAACGAAGUUGAAAAGCUUUCCAGAUUGAUUUCGCUGAAUGUUUCUCUAGCUUAGUCAUAUAUUUGUGCAUUAUGAUUGUUAGUUUGUGCUUUCUUAGGACCACUUGACUCAAUAUUUCUAUUUAAGUGGAGUUUAAAUUGCUUUGAAACUCAUGCUAGUUCUUUCACCCCAGAUAAAUAUUAACUUUUGUAUGCAAGUUGGGAAACAAGUUUUUAGUAUGGACACCCUUGCUUCUUUGCUUUGCUUAAUUUUUUAUUUUUGAUUAUGUUACGACGAGUGCACAAAUAGAAACGAAAAAUGGUAAUCACAAAGUAGACAAACCACAAAACAGUACAAUAAAAUGGAACACAGAUUUACGUGUUUAUAGGAAAAAAAAAACCACGGGCGAAAGAGGAGAGAACUUCACUAUAAAAAGAGGAGUAUAAUGUUGUGGAAGUACAAUCCACUGUAUUGCCUCUAGGGCAAAAAGAAGAAAGAAGUUCCUUAAUGGGAUUUCUUCAUUAUCAGCUCGAGCCCUCCGCUUUCCAUCACGGACAUCCACUUUUUCCUUCACAAAUCAUUUUCCAAAAUUUGUCGCACCAUGAAGCUGUUGGCGAAUCAGGGGCACAAAAUCAAAACUAAUAACCAAAUUUGGAGGCACAUCUAACAGAUUAAAUAGUGCAAUCAAACAUUUCGAGGCAAAUUCUUAAGUUCCAUUGUUUCUCUUAUUUUGCUCUGUACCUUAAAUGCUUUUCUUGAUUCUUUUACUUUGUUCUGUACCUUAAAUGAUUUUUUUGAUAGUUUCUUUGCAACUCAGCUAUCCUUGGGGCUGUUUGUCAUUUUACUUCUGUUGUUCAGAAUCAUAAAAUAGUUUUAAUUCUAGAUAAACCUACUUUUCACCCCUAGAGCAGUCAAUGCUAAAAGGUAAAGCUGCAAAUGCAUUAGAGAUAAACAUUUUGCGCCCCAGCUGCUUGUGAGCCAUGAGCUUUUGCGCUGGUCGCUUUGAGAGUUUAAAGUUUAGAAAGUAGUGCAUUCCCUAAGAUCAAACAUAACCUUUGUUUGCAUCAGUGAUUGGUAACCAAAGUAGAACAACUUUGAUUAUAUGGAUUUUUACACAUACGAGCAUCGAAAUUGAACAUAUUUGUAUAUAUACUCCUAUGGAUUGAAAAUUUGCAUCUAUACCAUUAAAAAUAGGUCAUGUUUGCAUAUAUGCCCUUAUUCUCAACUUCUCAUCAGAGAAAAUUAGAAAAUUAACAAAACUUAUGAAAUGACUGUUGAACCCUAUAUUUAUUUGCACUAAGGUGAUUUUUAGUUCUUUUAAGUAGUGUUGAUGCAAAAAUGAGGGCAAUUUUGUCUAUCCAAGCCUUAGUUAAAGUUGAAAUGUCUAUUGCCUGUUUAUCUCCUAGUAACGGAUGGGUGAAAGCCCUUUUUUGGCGAAGUUUCUGUCUAGAGGGGCAUACACUUAAAUAAGUAUAUUUUGAAGGAUGUAUAUGUGAAAGCAUUACCAUUUGGUUGUUCUAUAGAUCAAGGAUUUAAGUGCCCAUCGGCACAGACCGUAUCUACCGUGCCAUAUCAUACCAACAAGAUAUUGGCAGGAUACACUCCCCGUACCAAUGGCACACUCAAAACUCUCUAUUCUUUAAGUUAGUAAGUAAUUUUCUCAAUAAAGUUCAAAAGAUUUGAUAAAAAUACAUAAUAAAUAGUUAAAAUAUUUUGUUGCUAAAGAAAAUAAAUAUUUCAUGCUAUAAUGUGUUGGCAUACAUGAAUUUGUAGUGCCCGGCACGCAUCGGCACGGCUCGACACGCACCGUGCUGUAUCGUGCCAGCAAGUUUUUGACACGACCUCGUGCCAUGGCACUUAAAUCCUUGCUAUAAAUGUACUUUAGAUUUUUUUUUUUUUUUUGUGAGAGAGAUUGUAUGAUUGAUGUUUAGAGUUUUGGCUGAAGAUCUUGAUGUUUUAAUGUAUUUCUUGUUGCAUUAAUAGGAAUAUCAAGUCUUCUCAUCCCUAAGUUUUCUGUAUGGAGCAGAUUUAUGUUUUCUUUCCAAACGAUGAGAAGGUUGGUAUGAAACACAUAAAGAAAUAUGUUGAAUUGAUGAAAGCAGAAAGUGUUCCCAGAGCCAUGUUAGUUCUUCAGCUGAAUCUCACUCCAUUUGCCAAAUCGUACCUUCAAGAAAUAUCUCCGAAAUUCUUUUUGGAGGUUUUCCAGGUGACUUGGAAUGGCCCUUUUAUAUUUCAUCUUGCAACAUUACAAUGAGAUUUGAAAUUUUUGUCUACAGCACCUAUCUCGAUUUUAUUUCUCACUAAUUUCUGAGUAAUAGAGUGUGAGUGGUAUAUUUAUGAUGAACAACAACGAAAUGCAGGAGGCGGAGUUGCUUGUCAAUAUAAAGGAUCAUGCUCUUGUUCCUGAACACCAGGUGCUUACUAGUCAGGAAAAGAAGACUUUAUUGGAGCGAUAUACUCUAAAGGAAACUCAGGUAUGCGGUAUGCCUUAGUUAUUACAUUGUUAUUUAGGCAUGUUGCUUGUAUUUACAGCUUAAUUGUUUCAUGUUUGAAUCGUAAAAUUAAUAAAUCAUAUUUAUGUAUCAACUUCAUAUUCUACUGAAAGUGACAAAUUUGGCGUUAGUUAAAGCAAGAAGACUAGCCUAGGGGUGAAAAGGACCCAAUCCCGAAUCCGAAAUUUUCAGAUAGCAAUUGAAUUUUUACUGUCCGGCUUGGAUUCGGAUUCCGAUUCGGGUUCAAAUUCAGUUUCGGUUUUCAAGUUUAAAAAAUUUUCGGAUUGGAUCUGAAUUCACUUUUCUUCUUUGGAUUCGGAUUCGGAUUAUCCCAAUCUGAAGCAGAUUUUGAUAUGUUUUCAAUACGUAACAUCCAUUGUUUGAAAAGGCGCGCCUGAGGCGUGCGCCUCGGCACCUAAGUGCGAGGUGCGGGCCUCAGCUCCUCAGCAAUAGCGAGGCGCAGCGCUAUUGCUGAGGCGCGUGCCUCGGGCCUGAGGCGCGCGCCUCAGGCGAGGCACGAGGCGCUCCUGAGGCUCUGAGGCGCGUGCCUCACAAUAGCGCCUCAGGCGAGGCACGAGGCGCUCUUGAGGCUCUGAGGCGCGUGCCUCACAAUAGCGCCUCAGGCGAGGCACGAGGCGCUCUUGAGGCUCUGAGGCGCGUGCCUCACAAUAGUUAAGUUUUCUGUGUUUUUGAUUCAAGUUUUCGAGUUGUCGGGUUUUGAAUUUGCAUAUUAUACUUUAAUCCGAUAAGAUACUCAAAAAACAUUAAAAGAAAUCCAAAAAAAUUCAAGUUUUGGAUUGUCGGGUUUUGAAUUUGCAUCUUAUACUUUAAACUUGAUAAGAUACUUAAAAAUUUUUGAAAGAAACCCAAAAAAACCCCUAAAAAAAAUUAGCCGCUCGCCCUCUCCUCUCCGUCUCUUGUUCUCCCACAUCCUCUCUCUGUCGAGCAUUCAACAGCAGCUGUGCUAGCAGCAGCAACAAACCAGCGGUGGCCAGUACAAGCAAUCAGCAGCAGCGGAAGUAGGAAAACAAGUAGUAGCAGCAGCGUCAGCAAGAACAUCAAAUUAAACUAUAUGCAUGCAUUUUUUUUACUUUUUGAUGGUUAUUUCGGAAUUUUUUAAUGUAGAAUAUCAAAUUAAACUAGGCUUAAUAAAUGUAUGCCUCGCCUUCUUGAGGCGCGCGCCUUGCAGUGUGCCUCGUGCCUUUUCAAACACCGGUAACAUCCAUGUUAAAUUCAUAUUUCAUAUUAUUUUUUUAGAAUUUGUAAGUUUUUUAUAUUUUUGUAAUUUAUAAUAAAUUUUAAAAUACAUUGAUAAUAUUAUUUGCUUUUAGUUCUAUACAUUUGUUAAAUAUUCAAUCGAUAUCUAUAUCCGUUAAAUAUCCGACAUAUAUCUGAACCCAUUUUUGCUGGAAAUGGAUUUUAAUUUUAGUUUCCUAUUAAUAUCCUAAUCUGUUUCAGGAUCCGACAUAAAAAUAUGGAUGCGGAUAUGGAUUGAACACUAUCUGAUCCAUGUCGAAUCCAUUUUCAUCCCUAAGACUAGGUGCUUCAGUCAUUUUGGAGGCCUUUUAUAAUUGUAGUUCAAAUAAUCAAGCCAUGAAGUGUUGAAUAAGUUACUCUACACAUUGAAGCAUCCGUGACAAGGACAAACCAGGAAUUGUGUGUUGAGGUCAAAUCCUUUUUAAUUGGUUUUGAGUCACCUACUGUUUUUCAUAUGGGUUGUCCUUUAUUUUCGAGAAAGAAUGAUAUCCUUUUAGGGGCGUGGGCAAAUACUGUUACACAUAUGUCGACCACAAAAGCGUAGAUGAAUAAGAAAUUGCAUGUGGAACAAAAAUGAUUGUAACGCAAGUGUCUUUGUUGGCUUGUGUUAAUGUGUGAUUUUCUCAUUCCUCUUAUGCUAUAAUAAGGUUCAAUUACAAAAAUCCCCCUUGCACUUUUGGGUCAUGUCUCAUAUAGCCCUCUGCAUGAAAAAUUGCAUCAAUUACUCCCUUGCACUCUGUCAUUGAUUCAAACAGAUCCAAAACGUAGGAUCAUCAGCAUAUUGGGUUGUAGAACUUCGCUAAAACGAGCUGAAGAGUAACUGUUGGGUCAUUGAAGCUGCUAAGGAAAGCAUAAGAAAUAAACCUGUUUCCUGUAUCUUUGAGGAAAUUUGCUAUCUCAUGCACUCUUCCUUGUCCAAAAUUUUACUUGGGAUGUUACUAUCCUAAAGCUCUUUUCUCUUAUAAUUUACUACAUCUUUCGAAGUUAAUUUCUUAACUUCCAACCGUAAGAUUCUAGACCGUGGAUUUAUCGAGAAUAUCUAUCUGGAAAUUGCACCUGUUUGCUCAUUAUAAACUAAUUAAACAGGAUAAGAACAGGUAUAUAUCUGCUGUUAAAAUCAAGCUGCCUCAUGUGGAAAACAAAAAACAGAACAUUUGGGCAUCACCUUUGCUUACUUUAUACCUAAUGAAUGCUAUGAAACUUCUUACUGUUAGAUAUUGUGGAACUUCAUGUCUGUAAUUUCUCGUUUGGUGGAUUUCAGCUUCCAAGAAUUCAAAUUACGGAUCCGAUCGCAAGAUACUACGGCCUCAAACGUGGACAGGUUGUGAAGAUCAUCCGACCCAGUGAGACUGCGGGCAGAUACGUCACCUAUCGAUUCGUCGUCUAAUUUCGGCAAACAUUACAUGUUUGUUUAAAAAAAAAAAUAAAUCUUGAAGCAGCGAUUCCUGCUAUUUAACUUGUAUCUAGUAUUUCAAAGCGUAUUACAUGUCUCGAGAAGGGCACAAGCUUUCUCCACCAGCCAUAAUAAACUCCUGUUUGAUCGCUGUUUGAACGAAAGCGAAAGAAAAAUAAUACGUAUAGCUUAUAUUUAUACAUGCCAUCUUGAAAUGUAAAAGAACUGACUGGAGUAGAAUAAUGGAAGUCUUCCAUGACUCAAAGAGUCGAAUAACGAAAGUCUUCCUGUUUCAUGGACCAUUUUGUACUGCUUUUAGAUCACCCUAUGAUUUGCAGACUUCCUGUGCUAGGUUUCUUGGCGUGUGAUUUGCAUGGAGUCAUGAUCAUGAUUUAAAUCUCAAUUGAUUUAUUGGUUGAUUGAAAUGGAGACAUUCUUUAGAGCUGCUCGUUUUGAUCUCUGGGGAGCUUGUAGCUGCUGCAAGGAUCCGGGAUUCGCAAUAAGGGCUUGUUUGACUGAGACUGAAUCACUUGUCACCCGAGAAGUGAAUAUCUGGUCGAAGCAACAAUUCUCGACUACAAUUAAGCAUAUUUGGCCAAAGAUUGUAUGGGAAAUGACUAAAUCGUGCGGUAGUGAUUUCAAUCAGAGGAGCAACAUUUACAUAUUAUUUCUAUCUUUGCAAGAAGGCUCCAAGUUGCCUGCAUUAUGUGUGCCAAACACUACCAGCUGUCUCACUUGUAUGAAAGUGUUAGCAGCUGCAUCAGAUGUGUGACCAAAUAGGCUCUAAGACUAAUAAUAGAUCUGAUCAAAAUCCAUGCUAUUGUAGUACAAUGUAGGAACAAGCUAAAAGCCUAUUUCUCUCUGUCUCUCAAUGUUUGCGUAUGUUCUGUGUGCGCGUGCGCGCACGUGCGUGAAUCUUGUUGGUUGAGGGGAGCGAAAAUACCAGUUCGGGUGUGGACCGCGCCUUAUGGACCAAGGCCAGGACUCAGGGUUUGUACAAAUGCAGUCCCAGUCUAAACAAUUUAAAAGCCCGUUUUCCAUAUAUAUAUAUAUAUAUAUGUCUAUAUCUCAACUACAUGGUUUUGGAUGUGCUAUGGCAAUAACAAUUUUAGGGAAUUAGUUCCCAGUUCCCAACCAUACUCAUUGUAGAUAAAAUGUAUCUUGUAACAUUUAUUUAUCCUUAUGUUCUGAAGAGUAUGCCCAACCUGUUAGAUUUUAAUUGGAUUUUAUUGUGAUUUAAAACUUAUUUGGCCUCUUGGAUACCCCAAUUCUUAAUGGGCCUCGCUAGGGAGCCCAUGCUAAGGUUUCCACAUGAGAAGUUUAAUCCCAAAUUGGAAACCAAAGGCAUGGUGUGGUUCUUUAUAUACUCUCAUAUUCUCAAGCUAGUUGUUUGGAAGAAAAUGAGAGUUAUACUCUCAACUAAAUACGCGCACGGCACGAGCACGAGCACGAGUCGAGCCGGGCUGGGCUGGGCGGGCGGUGACGCGCGGUUCAGGCACCCGAUUUAUUUGAUUUUAUCUUUAUCUUUAUCUUUAUCUUUAUCUUUAUCUUUUGGAGCUCUAAUCCUAAUCCUAAUCCGUAUUUCGUAGGCUUAUCUUGUUCUAUACGGAAUUAACGCGUAGGAGCAAGAUUUUGCCUAGUAUAUAUAUAUAUUGGAGGAGGUUUGAUGAGUUCGACAGUGAAUCGGAGCUUACCCUAAUUAUUAUUUCUGCUUCUUCUCUCCAUUAAUAUUUUGCGCUAGUUUUCGCCGAGCUUUCUAGUAUUUCGUUGAAUCUCUUAAAGCUUAUUGGGUUCAUCUUGCGUCACCUUUAAAGCGUGUCGACAGGGUGGAACGUGGACGUUGUAUCUCUGAGAAUAAUUGCCCGGAAGCCUCGCACGUGGAGGGGCAAUUUCGCUUCUAGAAUAGUGCUCUGCACGUCUCGAUCCACAGGCUUUUUCUACUCAUUUUUUUUACCGUGUUUAUUGUUUAAUUUCUUUUCGGAGUAUUUCUAAAACUGUUAUUAAACUUUCGAAUUGUGUUUUAAAGAAUAGUUUAAUAAAAGAUCAAAAAGAUUUUUCCAACACGCUUAAAUGUGGAAAAACUAAGGUGAAAUGUUCGGUCCAAGGGAUUAAGGAGAAUAAGGGAUUUAUUUCCCUUAUUCUCUCCAACUGCACUAGGCAUUGUUAUUUUUCUCUUAAUGGGUUGUUCUGGAAUAAUUCGUUAAAGGAGAGAAUAGUAGUUCUACCCAUAGGUGGAACAAACUAUUCUCUAUCUUAUCUCUCUACUAAUUAAGUUAUAAAUAAUUAUAAAAUAUUAAUUAAUUAUUAUAAAAUAUUAAUUAAUUAUUGUAAAUUAGUUUUUAAUAAUUAACUAAUUACUUAUUUGACUUAUUAAAGUAACAAAUAUUUAAAUAGUAAUUAAUUUAUUAUUUAUAAUUAAUUAGCUAAUUAAAUAAUUAACUAUUUGGUAUGCUUAUAUCAAUCAUUAAUUAAUAUUUAUAUUAUUUAAAUAAUUAAUGUUUGUUUUUAUCUGAUUAAUGUAUUAAUUAAAUAAAAAGUUGAUGAAAUCAUUAUUUAAUAAUAUUUAGAUGCUUAUUUUACUAAUAUUUAGAUGCUUUUUAUUUCGAUUAAUUAUUUUCGUUUUCAAUCAUAAUUACUCUUGUUCCUACUAUCCCAACCUAUCACCCAAACAUAAUUCUUUUUAUUUCUUAUAAUAUCUUGAUUCUCAUCCAACUACAAAAUUAAUCUAAUUCCGGCUUAUCUCAAAAGUUAUACUUAUACUAGGAAUAAACAAGAAUAGCUUGUUUUCGAAUUAAACGGUAUCAUAGAUUAACAAAAAAAAACAACCGCUUAGAGGUCGGGAUUUUGAUCUCCUCUUAACACAUGUUUAGAAUUAGGGAUGCAAAUGGGGCGGAUCUUGGGGCGGGAGCCUCUCCCCGCCUCCCGCCCUGACUACCAAAAUCCCGCCCCACCUUUCGCCCUGAAUCCGUGACCGGUUAAAAAAUAUAUCCCAUAAUCCGUCCCGCCUCGUAACCCGCCUUCCGCAGGCACCCCGAAUCCGCCCCCGCCAACUAAUAUUUUUUAUAAAAUUAUAAUAUUAUUAAUAUUUUGUAAAAUAUAAAUUAAUAAUUUUUAAUAAUAUUAUAUAUAUAAUUAACAACAUCAAUUAUAAAAAUUAAAAAUAUCAAUCACAAUUCGAAGUAAAAUUCAAAAGUUUCAAAUACAUGAAAAAUGAUAGCAGUAACUUAUUUGUAUUUUGAACCUUUUAAUAAAUACAUUAUUUUUUAGGAAUAUUUUUUAAAAAUAUAAAUAAUUUUCGGGACGGACUCGAGGCAGAUUAUGGAGGAUUCGGGAUGGGUCAAAAUUUUUUCUGUUUCCUGCCCUGAAUCCGUUUUGGGCGUAAAAAUUACCUCAUUUUCUGCUCCGAAUUCGUUUAUUUUCUUUCGUUUAUUGUCCCAUUUGGGACGGAUUGGGGCGGGAGCUCCACCAAUCCGGAUCCGUUUGCAUCCCUAUUUAGAAUAGGGCUCGAGCUUCCGAUAUAUCAAGUAAAAAAUAAAAAAAAAAAUCUAAUGGAUGAACCUCCAGGGGAGUAUAGAGUGCAAGGAUCUACUAUUAGAGCAAGCUUAAAAAAACACUAUAACAAUUUUCACCCCAGAUACCAACUAAGAUAUUUAGAUCCUCCUGCUGGUGCACUAGUGUUUGUAAAAUAGGACACGAACUCCCGACUUCAUAAGGAAAAAAAAAAAAAGAACGUACUUCCGACAAAUCAAAAAAAGAAGAAGAAAAGAGAUAGAAAACAUUAAAAAUAUAACAAGAAAAUCAUCAUUUAGAUAGUUCGGACCCAUUAAAAGAAUUUGGAUUAAAAGGAGAGCUUUUUUUGCAUUUAACCCCCUGUCAAAUUUUUAUUUUAAAAAUAGUCCUGUCAAAAUUUAAUUUACAAAAAUGGGCCUGCCACGCAGGUGCCAUGUCAGCGCCACGCGGGCGGGGUUGGAGAGGUAGUUAAGUUAAACACGGUGAACCAUUCACCGUGUCUAAUACGGUGAAUGGUUCACCGUGUUUAGUACGUAUUUUUUAUAUAUUGAAAAGAGGAAUAGGAAAUUUGUAUUCCUUUUCUUCUCAUUUUCAAAAAUCCUAACCCGAACCCGAAAAUCAAAUUAAAAUCCAAACUCGGAUCUGAACCCGACGGAUUUUAAAAAUUCAUAUCCAUAUCCAUAUCCGACCAAAAACGUGAAACCCGAACCUAAACCUAGUGGGUUUUAAAAAUCUAUACCGUUGGAUGAAGAUCUAAGAAAUAAAAAUUAUUAAAUAUUUUAUAUAUUGUAUAAAUAAAUAAAAAUAAAUUAUGUAUAUAUAUAUAUAUAUAUAUAUAUAUAUAUAAUUUAUUCGGGAUUCGGAUAAUAUUUUGGAUAUCCAUACGUAUUGACAUCCUUACUCCCUAUUUCUCUUUUCAAUAUACAAAAAAUACGUACUAAACACGGUGAACCAUUCACCGUGUUUGAACAUGGUGAAUGGUUUACCGUGUUCAACUUAAAACACGGGCCCCGGCCCUGCCUGCGUGGCGCUGACGUGGCGCCUACGUGGCAGGCACAGAGCUAUUUUUGCAAAUUAAAUUUUUACAGGACUAAUUUUAAAAUAAAAAUUUAUCAGGGGGCUAAAUGCAAAAAAACCCCUUAAAAGGAGGUUUGUAUUCGAGAUUAGCGAGUAAUGCUUGUUCCGCAGGAACAUCUGAACGGAAUGAUUAAAGAGUUAACCAUUUCUUUCCCUUCUCUCUUAAGCCCUCCAACGGCUAGUUACCUUUCAAAAGAAUCCGACCGUUGGAGGCAACCCCUCCGCGCCAUAUAGCCCCGGAAAGAAGAGCAACGAAGUGCGGGGAGAGAGAGAGAGAGAGAGAGAGAGAGAGAGAGAGAGAGAGAGAGAGGCUCUUUUUUCUUUUCUCUUUGGAGGAGGAGGAGGAGGAGAAGAGACUACAAUGGCUUCGAGGCAUCAUAUUGCGAUUUCGCAGCAGCAAAGAGGUAAGGACGAAAAAGAAAGCUUUUUUGCUACAUACAAAUCCUUUUCUCUAAUGGGUUUCUCUGGUAAUUUUAUUGCCUUCCUCUUCCUUGUUGUGCCUUAUUUUCUUUUUCUUUUUUUUUCCCCUUUUUUGGUCUAUUAUUGGAUGGUUUUUCAUUCUUGGGUUUCCCCCCUUUUCUUUCAUUAUCUUUUUGCCCCCUCUAAAUAAGAGUAAUUUGGGAUUUUUGGUACAUUUUCUGUUUGUUAAAUCUCUUGUUCUUCCCAUUUCACAAUUGCUUCUUGUAAUGUUAAUCUUUUCCCGCUUUCUGGAUCAUUGAACUUUUUUUUUUUGAGCUCAUAAUGCUUCUUCUUCGCACAAUAUGAUUUCCUUUUGAUUAUUUUGUUCAAUUUCCCUAACGGUUUACUUAAUUAAUUCAUACAAAAUUCCUCAUACCCGAAUUUCUUUCGACCGUUUGUUCUUCUUUUUAUACCUUAUUUUAUUGUAAAAGUUGCCUUCCGAAGGCAGUAGUAUUUCUUGGCCCUUUGUUUCUUGCUUGCCCCUCCUUUUUCCCCUUCAGAGGAUAUCAAUGUCCAUUACCAAUUCAUUGGCUCCUUAAUAAUCUUACCUUCUUGUUGCUUUCCUUAAUCCAUCCCUAUAUGACUCAACUCUUUUUUAUUCCUCAAUCAUCAGGUGGGGUCGCGCCUGUCAACAAGCAAAAGGCGGCGGCCGGAGCAGAUGGGAAGAACCGGCGGGCCCUUGAAGAUAUCGGCAAUCUAGCCAAUCUCAGAAUCAAUGAAGGGUAGCAACACCUAAACUUGAUGAUUCUGCACUGAUGCUUAUGACUUUUUGUGCCUUUUCUCCUGAUGAUCUUUCCUAAAUGAUUUCUUUAUUGGAUUCUUUUCCGAAUCUAGCAAACCGCAGCCGCAGAUCAACCGACCCGUAACUAGGCAAGCUUUCAAUCCCACACCCAGAUAUGCUUUUAAUCUUAAUUUAUUUCAAAACUGUCCCAAAAUUUAUUAGAUAUAACUAAUAUGGUAGUUUAAGAUUUAAUUGUUUUCUUAAUCCUUUCUUUUUUUCCUUUUUCUUCUCUUUCAGCGAUCUUUUUCUGAAGAACUGCCAGCAUUAUAUGCAGAAACAAGUGGCUGUUCCUACUGACAGAAUAGCAGGAAAGGGCAGUACAAAAGCUACAGCAGCUCCCGUCGCCGGAGUAGCAGGAAAGGGUGCUGCAAAAGCACCCAAGAGUGCUGCAGUUAAGCCCGAACCCGAGAAUGUUAUUGAGAUCAGCACCGAUUCAGAUGAGAGCGCUACGCAAGUGUCUGCAAGUAGUGUCAGUUUUCGUGGUGGCAAACCAUCAAGAAAGGAAGUUCACACUCUUACCUCAGUGCUUACGGCUCGAAGCAAGGUGUGUUUGAUCAAUUAGAACUUCACCCACCUUCUACGAAUUGUAUAUAUUUUGUAACUUUUUUUUAAUGUGACCCUGUUUGCUUUCUUUCUCUUUAGAUUGCUUGUGGAGUUAUUGAGAGACCAAAAGAGCUGGCCCUGAAUAUUGAUGCAUCGGAUGCCGAUGAUCAAUUGGCCGUUGUUGAUUAUGUCGAAGAUAUAUACAUAUUCUAUAAGCAUGCAGAGGUACGUUGCUAAAAUGCCUGUCUCAUAAACGAUAUCUGCGAGCCUAUCUGUUUCACUCGUCUAUGUUCUAAGAUGUGGUUUUCCUUUUCGCGCUGCAGAACUCAAACCGACCGCGCGACUACAUACACUGGCAAGCAGAGAUCAGCAUGAAGAUGAGGUCCAUCCUCGCUGACUGGAUCAUCGAAGUGCACCACAGAUUCGAGCUGAUGCCUGAGACCCUCUACCUAACAUUCUGCAUCAUCGACCGCUACCUCUCAAUUGAAACAGUCACCAAGGGAGAGUUGCAACUCGUGGGAGUUAGCGCCAUGCUCAUCGCUUGCAAGUAUGAGGAAAUCUGGGCUCCUGAGGUAAUAAUAAUAAUAAUUAAUGCGUCACUUCUUUUUUUCUCUCUUUAGUUGAUAUAAUAUGUUCUAUAUAAUUUGAGCUAAUCGAGAUGAGCUUUUGUUGGGUGCAGGUUAAUGACUUCAUUUGCAUUUCGGAUAGGGCAUACACCAGAGAGCAGAUACUAGGAAUGGAGAAAGGGAUUCUGAACAAACUUGAGUGGAAUUUAACGGUUCCGACUUGCUAUGUUUUCCUCGUGAGGUUUCUCAAGGCUUCAGCGUGUGAUAAAGAGGUUACAGACCAAUUGUGAUAUUAUCUUUUAGGUUCUGAGAGUUUUAGAGUCUUUUAGUUCUCUUUUCUCGAUUUAACUCGAAUUCUUCUACACAAACUGCAGAUGGAGCACAUGGUUUUCUUCUUUGCUGAGCUGGGUUUGAUGCAGUACUCAAUGAUCAUGUAUUGUCCAUCCAUGGUUGCUGCUUCUGCAGUAUAUGCGGCUCGCUGCACACUUAGGAAGAGUCCUCUUUGGACUGAAACACUGAAGCACCACACGGGCUUCUCAGAGCAGCAGCUGCUGUAUGGAAUUCUUCCUCAAGAAUGUUAUUUUAUAGUAGGGUUUAUUAUUAACAGCAGUUGCAGAUGCUUAAUGAACAAAGCUUUUGCUGUUUGUUCUGCAGAGAUGCUGCUCAAAUUCUUGUGAAGUUUCAUUCGGUAGCUCAUGAGAGCAAACUGAGGGUUGUGUACAAGAAAUACUCGAAUGAAGAACUUGGAGCGGUCGCGCUGCAUCCUCCCGCAACAAGGCUGAUAGAGGAUCUGUUGAAGGCUUCAAAGAAGUGAUGGAAGGGGGCUGGUAGUGAAUGGCAGUAGUUAUUCCCUUUUGGUACUUGUUUGCUGAUUCAAAAUUUCAAAUUUUUUUUUUUUUUUUGGAAGAAGUUAGUUUAUUUGUUCUGUAGUUAGAAGGUGUCCGACAGAGUAGAGAGGUGUGGAGUUUGUGGGCCUUUCGGAGGCAAUGGAAAUCAUCUCAGUGAUGAUACAACAAAGUGAUGUCUUUCAUUUUGGUACAUACUCUCUCUCUCUGGGAGUUUAUGCUUCAAAGUUCUUAAAGAUUCGGCGCAUCUGAUUUUGCUGAUCAUUUAAAAAUGUGUAAAAAAUCUACCAAUUUCAGUGCAGAUUUUGAAAAAGAUGUUCGAAAGAGGGGGUUUCCGCAAUUCCAACUAGGCGAAUAAUAGGUGGGCCUACUAGGGCCUGUUUGGAAUUAUACAUUUAAAUUUUGAAUGCAAGAUCAAGGGGUUGAGCAUAGUUAGUUAAUUCGGAUUCGGCAAAAAUUCGGUACGGAUAUAAUUCGGAUAAAAUUCGUCUUCUAAUUUUUAAAUUCGUUGAAAAAUACGGCUAAAAAACAGAUUCGCCAAUUAUUCGGAUACGUGAUUUAUACGGAUAUUAUACGUUCGUUAAUUAAAAAUUCGGCUAUUAAAUUAAGUUUUUUUUUUUUUCUCUCAAGAUUUAUGUUAUUAGCAAUAAAUACUCAUAUUUCUUAAGAAUAUAAGAAUAAAGAGCUAAAAAAUUAAGCUAAUUAAGUAAAAAAAAUAACAAACUAUAUUAUGCCUCAAAAUAAAUAAAUAAUUAAGUAAAUAAGAGAUUAAGAUAGUCCAUAAGAGAAAAAAUAGCCAAACCGAUUUUUUUUUUUUUUGGGAGAGGUUUUUUUUUCUUUUUUCUUUUGGGCGAGCACAAGGCCGAUGAGGCCCACUAGCCACAUGGCCCGCGAGGCUCGCGACCCUCGAAGCCUCGAGCGCGGGAGCGAGCGCGCGCAGGAGCCAGCGCGGGAGCGCGUGAGUGCGCGAGGGCGCACGCGCGAGCCCGCGCGAGCGCGGGCCCUACUGCGAGCGCAGGCCCGGGCGCGGGACCACGGGCCAUUUUUUUGAAUGAAUUAUUCGUGAAUCGCGAAUAAUUCACGAAUAUAUAUUUUUCUCCAAAAAAUCGCGUUUUUUUCCGAAUUUUUCGGAAAAAUACGAAAACGCCCGUUUAAUUCAUUUUUUCAAAAAUUCGUGAAUAAUUCAGCAAAAAAUUCGCGAAUUUACUAACCAUGGGGUUGAGUGAACAGUCUGGGAGCAGUUAUGUCAUAGGUAGGUUGGCGAAUCGCGAAAAUAGCUGCGAUUAUGGUGGCCAAGAGGCAACAAAAGAGAAAUAGGGGUGAUGAGAAGAGAAUGGAAGCAUCAACACCCUAGAACUUAUUAUCUUGACUCCUGCACUAGGAGUAGCCAAAUUAAUCAAAUUUUAAAUUUUAAUAUGCGGGUAUGAUUGUGGUUUCAAGAUGACCUCGGUAAUAUAAGUUCAGAUUUAUGUGAGCCAUCGGAUUGAGUCGAUUCGGUUGAAUUUAAUUUUGGUUAAAUUAAAUUACGAUUAUAAUUAGACUAAGAUUAGGAUUACCCUAACUUAUUUACCCACAAUAUGUGUUUGGGGGAGGCUGUACGGCUGUCGUGGCCGGUUUCUCUACAUGCACAUGAAAGAUGAGGCGAUCACAAGGUAGGAAAAUGAGAGAUACUAUAACAAAAUUAGGUUAUAGGAACAUAUAUUUGGAAUAAUUUUGUUUAAGGUCUAAAUAUAAAACCCAAUCCAACGAAAAAUAAAAAGUUUUUUUUACUCAACUAACUCCAUCCAACCCACUUAGCCCGAUUACAAAUAGAAAAAAAAAAAAAAAUGAUCACCAUCUCCUCUUCUCCUCCUCCGCUACCGCAGCCGACGAGGUAAGGUUCCGGGAGCUGGAGUUCGGCCGCGAGGAUCUCGUAGAGACCAUAGAGGGCGACGAUCGCCACGUAUCCCUCCGUCACAGGUCGCUUGAGGAGUGGGUGCCAAAUAUCGAGGCGGCCCCACACAUAGCGACCCACAUAUAGCAACACUUUUAACAAGUGUCGGUAAUUUAACCAGCAGUACUUUUUUUUUUACUUGUAUCAAUAUUUAAAAGUAUCACUAUACACUAUUUUUGUUGUAGUGAGAUAGGUGAGUCAUCUUUGUUCUUUUCUCUCUUUCUUCGUCUUCUUCUGUUCCUUCUCCUUCUCCUUCUUUGUUUUCCAAUCUUCUCUUCCAUAGCCGCUGCCGCACCCGUGGCUGUUAGCACUGCCGAAGUGCUGCCCGCCACAAGCCUAUGAAGGCGUUGGCCGUGCAUGCCCAAGAGAGAGGUGGGUUUGGUACGAGGCUUGAUCAAAAGUCAAUAGGAGGGGGGGAAGAAGACUAAAAAUAUUUUAAAUCUAUCUAGAUCCGGUUCAUAGUGGGCUAUAUUAAUUUUAGCAUGAUUUAGUCAUUAUUUGAGGUUUACAUUUAAAAUAGCAAUUUCUAUAUGUAACUAAUAAUUAUUGUUAAAUGUGACUCGAAAUUGAUAAUUGGCUUCAGUUCGUGAUUUCGACUCGCCAACAGUUUUGCGGUGCGAUCAAAUUAGAAAAUAAAAUUAUGAAGAAAAAAUGAAUGUCUGCGGUUAGGGCUGGCAAACGAACGAGCCGACUCGCGUUCGACUCGUGUUCGGCUCGAUAUUCGGCUCGCUCGAGCUCAACUCGAAAUUGAAUGAGCUGAGCUUGAACAAAAUAAAAGGCUCGAAAUUCAUUUCAAGCUGAGCUUGAGUAUUACUCGGCUCGUUCGAAUUAGGCUCGAAAAGCUCGAAUAUAUAUAUAUAUAUAUAUAUAGAGAGAGAGAGAGGAGCGGAGCGCGCGAGAGGCCGUGGGGGGCUGACCCAAGGCCGAGUGAGACAAGAAUGGUUUCUGGCCGAGCUCUAAUUCUGAACCGUCGUCUGAGGCUAUAAAAGAAAUGGGUCUGAACGCUGGGUCUAUACAAGCCAAAACUGCGCCGACGUUCUCAUGGCCAAUCCGAGUGCAGAAGAGACAGGAAAUUGGGUCACCGGCAACGCGCGACCGGCACUCGAAGGCCAGGAAUCAGUCUAGUAUGCACUACUUGAGAAAAAGGAACUGAGUAUCCAGGCAGCAGCGUAAAUUUAUUCUACACUAGGUCGUCGAUACCAUCGUGCGCUACAGACUGCGGCGAGGCUCAGGAACAGAGACUGAUAGGCUUUUUAAGAGGCGCGAAGAUGCUAGUAUGGGUGUUGUAGAAAGGCAGUGUAGAUGUGCGAAAUGUGUUUCUGUCAAGUCGAGUUCCAAGUUCCGAGAGUAUGUAGAAAUUAAACUGACGUAGCGGUUAAUGCGAAGAUUCAGCGAUUAAACUGAAUCCGAUGAUUCGAGAUACGUAGCAAGAAACUACACAGGUGAUACAGUGUGUGAGCGACGGAGUGAUCUGUAUAGAUGAAGCCGGGUGAAUUUCGGUAAACUGAAGCCCACCUCGGAAAAGGCUAAUCCAACGCAGCGAGAAGUUGUAAAGGAAGGGAAAACAGCGCGAUCGCCGCCGUCCAAUUGCACAGACGACGGAGUCCACGAGGCUUCGAGACGGCGCGCUCCCAAAGACGACGGGUGGGCGGGAAGAAUUUUGCCGAGGCGAUGUCGCGGUUUCGCCGCGGAGCGCGGGAUAGACGAGCGGAUCAAGAUGUAGAGAGAAAUAUGAAAAUUCUCAGCUAAUUAUAUUGGGGGUAAGGAGAAUGGAAGCUUGGAAGUAAGGCAAUCUUAUCCACCAACAUAUGCAAUCUUCCGACCAACAAAAUGACUACAAACCUUCACUAACUCAAAUUAACAGUUGAGUGCAGCGGUCACCCAAUUUGUUAGCCGUACUCGGCCCUCAUCCGCAAAGCUCUCAGCACGAUUAGGAUGAGCCAAUACGCGUCCCGUACCGAUCGGUACUCAGCACUGAAGAUUUCUACACUGUUGCGGAUUUCAGGCGUACAGAUUACUCAACUCUCGCCUAAUCGAGUCGGUUUUGUGUCCAUUUUCGCUGCCAUAAGACAUCCGACUUGUCCCGCACUUUCCAGAUGUGUUGACAAAUCAGGCUGAAAUCUCACGGCUCGGGUGCAGGACAGCCAGGGGUACUCACAGACUACUUCAACUAACCAUAAACUUUCAAGAAUUCGCUGGCACUCGGUCUAACAGCGCAACAAUGGUUCGCACAGGAGGCUUUUUCGUCUUUUUUCUCUCAAAAAAAAGUUAAGGAACACCCACUAAAAUAAUUAUUAAUGACAAACGCACAACAGAAAACGAAUGGCGAAUACAAAAUAACAAACCUGAAAAAAAAUGAAAAGAACACACAGAUUUACUGGAAACUCUUUCAGAAAAAAUCAUGGGCAAAGAAGAAGAGAACUUCAACUAUCGAACGAAAAGGGACAUACAGAUGUUCGGCCCCCUGUUCCCGACCCUUUCUCGAGAGUAACAACCAACUUUUCAAUCUGUUGUCUCUAGAGCAAAACAAAAAGAAAACUCUUACGGACUUCAAAAUCCGAUCCGUAACCGCGGGGCAGGCCGUGAAGAUCUCUGUCGGCCUGAGCCCUCUGUACCCACCGCAGAUAGGGUGGACGAGCUCGAGCUCGAGCGCAGCUAUGUCCUCAAAUUCGGCUUUAAAUUAAUUUCGACUUAACAUCAUAGGCUCAAGCUCGCUUGAAAUUUAAUUCGAAGCCGCAGCUCUGAGCGAUGCCUAAUUUGCGUAGUCGCGUCGAGCUCGAGCUCUAAAUGAGCCGAUUGAAAUUCUCGACAUAUAUAAUCAAUAGUUUAAUUUUAUAUAACAUUACCUAGAAUUUGAUGGCAACAUUCCAAUAGGUUCAAAAUACAAAAUUAAUUGUAAGAAAUGUGAGCUAGGGUGACUGUCUGACUGGGUGAGGGUCUGUAGGAGAAUGAGAGAGAGACGAGAGAGAGAGAGGGCAGAGGGGAGAAAAAAAAUUAGGGAUUUGAAAUUUGAAUGUUAUCAUAUUUAGGUUUAUGUGGCAACAGUAAAGUCUGAACAGAGAGAGUGUGUUUAUGUAAAUUUAGAGUUUGGCUCAAUGCACGGUUUGUACUUGUUGGAUUAUUUAAUGGCCGACAAUAAUAUGCGAAAUUAUUAAAGCCUAUAUAUAAUUAAAAUACAAUUAUAUUUAUAAAAUUUUUAUAUCAAUAUAAAUUGGAGCUCCUAUAUCUUCUAAAAGUUAAUCAAGUUAUUGUACUUGUAAAUUUUUACCAUUGAAUUAAGAGAUUAUGGGCGGUAGGAUGAUGUGGCCGCCCUAUGGGUUGAGUGGAUGGUUGGUAUAAUAGUAUAUCUAAUGGUUGAAAAUGGAUCCGAAGGAGUAGAUCAACAGGUACAAAUUACAAGCACCAAGUGCUUGGUACUUUUACAGUACCAUCAGCUGGGUACCAAACUUACAAGCACCAGUGCUUGGUUAUUUUAGCAAGCACCAUUGUCUCGACUAUAAUAUAUAAUAUUAUAUAUAUAUAUAUANNNNNNNNNNNNNNNNNNNNNNNNNAGUCACCCUAGCUCACAUUUCUUACAAUUAUUUUGUAUUUUGAACUAUUGGACAUGUUGCAUCAAAUUGUAGGUAAUGUUAUAUAAAAAUUAAACUAUUGAUUAUAUAAUGUCGAGAAUUUCAAUCGGCUCAUUUAGAGCUCGAGCUCGGCUCGACUCGAAAUUAGGCUCGCUCGAGCUCGGCUCGAAUUAAUUUCAAGCCGAGCUUGAGCCUAGAUUUAAGCUCGAAAUUAAUUUCAAGCCGAAUUUGAGCUGACAUAAGCUCGCUCGAGCUCGGCUCGUUUCCACCCCUAUCUGCGGUGGGUAGCAGAGGGCUCAGGCCGACAGGAUCUCACGGUGCCCCCCGCGGUACGGAUCGGAUUUGAAGUCCGUUAAGAGUUUUCUUUUUCGUUUUUGCUCUAGAGACAACAGAUUAAAGUUGGUUGUACUCUCCGAACAUUUGUAUUCCCUUUUUCGUUCGAUAGUGAAGUUCUCUUCUUCUUUGCCCAUGAUUUUUUCCUGCAAAGAGUUUUCCACGUAAAUCUGUGUGUUCUUUCAUUUUUUUUUAUGGUUUGUUUAUUUUGUAUUCGCCAUUUCGUUUUCUGUUUGUGCGUUUGUCGUAAUAAUUAUUUAGUGUGUCCUAACUUUUUUUGAGGAGAAAAAAUAGACCGAAAAAGCCUCUGGCGAACAUUGUUGGUGUUAGACCGAGUGCAGCGAAUUCUGAAAGCUAUUAAUGGUUAGUUGAGUAGUUGUAGUACCCCUGGUGUUCUGCAGCCGUGAGAUUUCAGCAUCUGAGGCUUGUCAACACAUCUGGAAAGUGUCGGGACAAGUCGGAGUUGUUUUGGCGCGAAAUGGACACAAAACGGACUCGAUGUGAGGCGAGAGUGAAGUUCUGACGCUGAAAUCCGCAAAGUGUAGAAUUUCAGUGUUGAGUACCGAUACGGUAUCGGGCUGGUAUUGGUAUCCUAUGUGCGAGCUUGCGGAUUGAGAGGCCGAGUACCGGUAACCAAAUUGGGUACCGGCACUCCAACUGUAAUUUGAGUUAGUGAAGGGUAUUGUAGUCAUUUUGUUGGUGGAUAAGAUUGCCAUAUGUUGGUGGAUAAGAUUGCUACCUAAGCUUCCAUAUCCUUACCAACUUAAUUAGCUGAGAAUUUCUCAUUUUCUCUCUAAUUUGAUCGUGUGUAUGGUGGAGAACGCGACUCGAGCUCGGAAAAUUUUCGACGUCGUUUUGGAGGGCCGUUCGAGCACGUGGACGUCGUGGUUGUGCCAUUGGAGGCCGGGCGAUCGCGUGUUUUCCCUUCUUUCAACUUCUCGCUGUCGUUGGAUUAGCUUUUCGAGGUGGGUUGAAGUUUACCGAAAUCACCGGAUUAUCUUCUAAGUUUCAUCGUCGUCAACAUGUAUCACCUGUGUAGUUUCUUGCUAGUAUUCGAAUUCAUGGAUUAGUGUUUAAAUCUGAAUUUUGAAUUAAGCUAGUAGUUUAAUUUUACAUAUUGAACUUGGAACUGACUUAGGAGAAAACAUUUAGAAUCUACACUGUCAUUUCUAAAAACUACUAGAUUUAGCUUUAAAAGCUAUAGUUUGUUUGUAUCGCCGCAGUUUGUAGGCAGUGGAUAGCCAGAAUAGUGUAGAAUAAAUUUACGCUCGUGCUGGGAUACUCAGUUUAUUUUUACAGUAGUGUAUAGACUGUUCUGGACUGUCGAGUGCCGUCGCGGUUGACGGUUGACCCAAUUUGCUGUUUUUGCAUCGGAUUGUGCCGAGAGCACGUGAGUUUUGGUUGUUAGACCGGUUAGACCCAUUUGCUUUGAUUAUAGCCUAUGAGAGGUUGAUUGAGCUCGGCAGAAACAUUCUUGUAUACUCGGUUGGGUAGCGCCCACGAGUGCCACUCCGGAGUCGGGUUUUAUACUUUUGUGUUGUUGUUGUUGUAUCCUAGUUGGACUCGCUCUCCACUGACGACUCAGCGUGGUGGUGGUUGGUGUAGCUUCGACAGGUGGGACGGAUGCGUUCACGGUCUCUAGUGAGAUUGGGUCAGAGAUUGCAUUUUUAUAUCUACAGAUAGCUAGUGUUGUUUAGCGAUAAUAUAGUGGCAUGUAGCUGUAGAGUUUUUCCAGCUUCCUUUACUAUUCUUGAGCAUAUUUUCUGUCGACUUAGUGGGUGAGCCGUUGAGGUCGGUAGCGGUACCCACUGAGGACUAACUCUUUUUGCAGUAGUUCUCAUACCCAGUUGUUGAUCCCUUUUUGCAGAGCCUUUUUCUGCGGCUGCUGUUGUUGCUGAUACUGAUCGUAGAAAGGGAGUUGCGAGCUAGAUCCCUUCUUGUUUUGCUGCUGUUUUAGAGGAGUACCAGCUAUAGGUAGUUUUGGUUUUUGGUUCUUAUACAUACUAAUGUUUGUUCUUCGUUGGAGCGAGUGAUGUUGUAUUUGGAUACAAUGUAUGUAUAGUGAACUCGUUGUUUGUUUAUAUAUGUUUACAGUUCUGUUAGCAGCUCUAUACUAGUGGUUGUAGUUUUGUAUGAUUACAGAUACAGGUACAGCUAUCGUUUUGUAUACAAGAAAAAUUUCUUUGUAUACGGCGGAUUUGUCGGCGUGCUUGGGGAAACGAGUAAUCCGGGGCAUGACAGUAGUCAGGGACCAAUCUAUAAAUAACAGUUUUCGUUUGAGAGAUUGAUUCGUAAAAGAUGCAUAAUUUUUUAUUUGUACGGCGGAAUUGCAUGAUUCAAGUGUCAUUGGACUCGUCUCGAAAAUAUGAGAUCGUGCAAUCCAUUUAUUCAAAUUUAUUAUAUAAUUUUUGCAGAAUUUUUAAAAGUUAAAGGGCUUGCUUGAAAAUUUAUUUUAUUUGAAUUUUUUUUCCUCAUUCUAGGUGCUAAAACUACUGUGAAACCACAAUCUUAGAAUAUGAAGAAUUUUUUGAGUGGCUAUAGAGGCAAGUAAAUAGUUACUUUUUUGUAAAUGGUAGAAAAUGUGCAUAUCCGAUGGAUUCGAGACACGAUUAUUAUCUUUUUUUUUACUAGUUGCUAGUACACUCGAGUGAAUUUUUAUAAUUAUGUUUGUUGCCGUGGCUUAUUCACUCUUGCAUGUUAUUAUUAUUUAUCGUUAAAACAAUUUAUUGUUGUUUAUGAUUGUUAGGAUCGAAUAUCUUGGAGGAGAGGAAUUUAUUCUACACAUUGUUCUCGAGGAGGAAUGGCACGUAAUCAUAGCUCUCGUGUUAGAGUGGUGCAAUGAAGGGCGCUCCAAAUUAUAACGACUGCAGUUUCAAAUUUAAAAUUAUUAUUAUUCUUAAAAGUAGAAUUCUUAUUAAGUAUUGCGUUUACUUUUAUUGUCUACCGUUUCAAAUAUUGAAGAGUCGGAGUGCGUAAGAUAAUCGACGGGCUAGGACUCGUAAAAUAGACUUCAUUUUAUGGACAUUUAGGUAAGUUUGUUUCACCGAAACUGGACUUUAGGUUUAAGUGGACUUUGGGUUAAAGUGGAGUUCGGUGAAAACUACUUUUUUAUCGUUAUUUGUUUCGUAAUUAUGAAAGUAAAGUUUCAUUAGUUCUACUAUUUAUUUGGUAGGAAGUGUGUGAUGUAAAACAAAAAUUUAUAUAUAAAUAAUAAAUAUUUUAAUAAAUAAAAAUAAUAUAAUUAUAUUUUUGUAUAAUUAAAAUUUAAUUUAAAAUAACUAAAUUAUUCUUUUAUACAUAAAUUAUUAGAAAAUAAAAAAUAGUAAUACUUAAUUAAUUAAUUUUUAUUAUUUUUAAUUUUACAAACUAAAUAAAGAAAAUAUUAUAACUUAACUAAUUAAUUUUUAUCAUAUUUUAAAUAUGUCAACUGAAUAAAAGAGUAAUUAGUAACAUAAUUAAAUAUAUUUAAAUAUAACUAUAUUUAUCUAGUAUAUUAUUUUAUUAUUUUUUCUUCACCUCUCUUCACCGAAAUUAACUUCGGCCCACGAUAGGUUGGAAGUUAAUUACACCAUUUGAGAUUAACUCGAGUUUUGAUCGUAACUUUUUUACGACAAACGAAACAAUGAAAGUGAUUGUUUAGGACGAAAACGACUUACCUUCUCUCCACUUCCACCCCACUUCCACCCAAACAAACAUGUCCUUUUUUAUUUGAGUUAGGUGGAAUAGAAGGAUUUCUUUAUUCUUUUUCACUAAAUCGGACAUUUAAUAGUUACUUAAGUUUUCUAAGGAUAUAUUUGCUGUUUGAUAUCUUUGUAAGGUACCUGUAUGAAAUUAACGUAUAUUUAACCCUAAAAAAAUAUGGGUAAUAAGACUACUGUGAAAUUUAAAAUCCUUGAAUUUAAUAGAUGUAAGGUUUACAUCCACUUUCAAGUAUACAGAUAACAUUGCUCCUAAAUAAAAUAAAAUGAAAUAUCACUGAAAUAUAACAAUAGAAUAAUGCUAUAUGUUCAUCUAUAAAAUAGUUAUAAAUUUUACACUAACUAUCCAAAAACUCUUAUUAUUUCUCUAGUCUUAUAUAAAGUUUUUUUUUACUAAAAUUUAACUAAAUUUUUUUGUAAACAUAGAAUGUAAAAGAUAUAAAAUUUAGGCUAAAUUACAUAAAACCCAUAAAGAAGUACACAAAUAUUAUUUUUUAUAAAAUAAUAUAUUAGAAUAGUGGCAGUACAGUUAUAAAAAAAUAUAUCAGAAUAGUGGCAGUAGAGUUAGUGAGUUACUGUGUUUGACUUGAGAACUAAAUUUUGAAGAACAAUUUUUGUUGUUCUCGAAAACAGGAGAUAUUUCGAUAUAAGCUAGAACAAGUUGUAAACUACGUCUGGAUGUUGUUUGUUUAUUUCUAGAGAAUAUUCUUGAUAGUGUUUGAAUAUUUAUGUUGGAAUAGGGUGCUGGAAAGAUAAAAAUUAAAUAGAAUAACAAAUUUAUCCUUAAAUAUAAUAAUCAAAUAUGAUUUAAUAAAUUAAGUAUUAAAAUAAAUUAAUUUACAAAUAAUGUUUUAGUAGUAUUCAAUUUAAAUAUUUAUUUAUUUUUUUUCAAAACUAAUUUAAAAUAUAAAUAUUUAAAAUGGAAUAGCACUUGUUAAAUUAAAUUAAUCAUUCAAUCGAUUUCUUUUAAUCUACUAAAUUAAAUAUCAAUAAGUCAAAAAGUAUGGCUCUUAUAAAUGUAAAAAAAAAAUCUCCACAAAAAAAUUUCUAAACAUAUCCCGGUGAGGAAGGGUUUAAAGGGCAAAAUGGAAAACUAAGAGAGCACCUCAAGUUGUUCUCCCUAGUUCUCCGAUCGGAGAAGAAUAGGCUUAACGGGUUGUUCCUGUAAUAAUCCGUUAAGCCUGGAACAACAAAUCCCUUUUUUUUUUCUGUUUGGAUAUUAAUUGGGGGAUGUUUUGCUUUAUUCUGGAAUAAACCUCCAACGAAACGCAGAUAUAGAGUCUAAUAAUAUAUAUUUUCAUGAGUGAGGCUACUAUGCUAUCAAAAGCACGGAGCCUUCCGUGCUUCCAGCUCGUUUUUGAUGUUGCGACUUUCAAAUCGUCGAUCGGCUCCGUUAAACUUGAUCUAGAGUAUUUGAAGUACCUAGAAAAUAAAUUUUAUGAUUUUACGAUAUCAUUUACCUAGUGAACGAAGGGGCUCAAAAUCAAUGGCUGAAAAUAAAAAUCUUACAAAAUAUAAUAAUAUGACAUUAAAAUUUUAAAUCAAAGAUAUUGAUCUUGUUUUAUAUAGUAUAAAGAAUUUUCUAUCAAAAUUUCACGUGAUUUGGAUAUUUCUACACCGUUAAACUUGCAAACGGCUCACUACGGCCAUUGAAAUUUGUUGAUUUUGAGCCCAUUUGAUCACUAGGCAAAUGAUAUUGAAAAUUAAUAAAAUUUAUUUUCUAGGUACUCCAAAUACUCUAGAUCAAGUUUAACAGAGCCGAUCGACGAUUUGAAAAUCGCAACAUCGAAAACGAACUGAAAGCACGGAAGGUGCUUCCGAUAGCAUAGUAGCCUCACUCUAUUUUCAUAUUGCGUAGUAUACUGCACACAUAAUUAGCAAACACAUAUAUGUUGUUGGCCUCUUUCAAUCAAUCUGCUUCCAAUGAUUCAGAUGUGAACUAUCCUUUGCUCUUGUCACGCAAGCAAAAUCCAACCCGCUAGCUGGCAUCCACGCAAGCCACGUCCUUCACAUGACCAAUCCAUUACUAUUAUAAAUUAGUCUAAAUUGCACCACUAGUUUUUAAAAGGGCAAUUUGCAUAAAAAAAUCUUUUAGUUUUAAAUUUUUGCAAAAGUAAAUCAUUCUUUUAGAUUUUGUAAAUUUGAAUUAAAUUUUUUAAAAAAUGAUCGAAAUACUUUUAUUCCCUUUUCUUUCUCUUUUUUUUUUUAUCUCGUUCUUUUUUUUCUUUUUUGUCCGAAGAGUGCGGCGGAGGCGGAGGCAGAGAAGGCCCGCCUCGCUUCUGUCCCGCGUGCCCUCGCCCUCGCCCGCACACCCUCCCUCCGCCUUUCUUCCCUCCGACCCUGCUGAGGCCCCGCCUUGACCCUCUUUUUUUUUUUUUUUUUUUUUUUUUUUUUUUUUUUUCUUUUUCUCCCUCUCCGACCCUCCUCCAUCGCCUUCUCGACUUUUUACAAUAAUAAAAAAGGUAGUGUCACAUCUUCUUCCUCUCUUUUUCUUCUCUCGUUCUUUUUUUUUUUCUCUUCAACCCUCUCUACCGCCUCUGCGACUCUCCACGACCGCAAUGAGGACAGCACCGUAUCCUCUUCCUCUGCCUUCGCCGGCGUAGACACCGACGCUAGUGCCGGAGAAAGAGAACUCAGAGCAAGUGCAGGUGAAAGCGGAGCCGAGAAAAAAUAUACAAAAAAUAAAAAAUAAAUAAAAUAAAGAAUAAAACAUGAAAAAAAAUAGAUUUUUCUACAAAAAAAAUGAAGAAUCAGAGAGAGAAGAAAAAGAUGAUGAAUUUGCACUAUUUCAGAAGAACAUUGCACUGUUUUUGAAAAAAAUUACACUCUUUGAGCGAAAAAAUAUACUUUUUUUGAUGAAAAUUGCACUCUUUGAAUGAAAGUUAAAUUCUUGGGAAAACUUCAAAAAACCCUCCUGUGAUUUCACACUUUUUUAUAGUAGUACCCUGUGAUUUAAAAUGUAUCAAGUUAGUACCCUGUGGUUUCUCACUUUAUCACUUUAGUACCCUCUGGUUUAAAGUGUAUCAAGUUAGUACUCUGUGGUUUUGCACUUUAUCACUUUAGUACCCUGUGGUUUCACACGUUAUCACUUUAGUACCCUAUGGUUUAAAAAAUCACAGGGUACUAACUUGAUACAAAAUUAAAACCACAGAGUACUAAAGUGAUAAAGUGCAAAACCACAGGGUACUAACUUGAUACAACUUAAACCAGAGGGUACUAAAGUGAUAAAGUGAGAAACCACAGGGUACUAACUUGAUACAUUUUAAAUCACAGGGUACUACUAUAAAAAAGUGUGAAAUCACAGGAGGGUUUUUUGAAGUUUUCCCUAAAUUCUUUGAACGAAAAUUAUACUAUUUGGCCGAAAAUUAUACUAUUUGGCCAAAAAGAGAAGGAGGAGAAGGAGAAAUAGUGUAAUUUUUGUCCAAAUAGUACAAUUUUCGUUCAAAGGGUGUAAUUUUUAUUAAAAAAAAUAUUUUUACUCUCAAAGAAUGUAAAUUUUCUCUAAAACAGUGCAAUAUUCCCUUAAAAUAGUGUAUCAUUAUCCUGAAACAGUGCAACAUUCUUCUGAAAUAGUGGAAAUUCAUCAUCUUCUUCUUUUCUCUCUGAUUUUUCAUUUUUCUUUUAGAAAAAAUUAUCUUUUUAUAUUUUAUUCUUUAUUCUUUUUAUUUUUUAUUUUCUGCGUAUUUUUUCUACAGCUCCACUCUCACCCACACUCGCUGUAAGUCCUCCUUCUCCGGCACUGGCAUUGGUGCUUGCGUACCGUCGUGGAGAGUCUUAGAGGUGGUAAAUGGGGGUCGAAGAGGAAGAAAAAAGAAAGAAAAAAAAAUUGAGGAAGAGGACGUGACGUUGUCCUUUUUACUGUUGUAAAAAGUCAUGGAGGCAGUGGAGGAGAAUAGGAGAAAGAAGAAAAAAAAAGGGUCAAGGUGUGGUUUCGGUGGGGUCGGAAGCUAGGAAGGCAGAGAGAGUGUGCACGGGCGAGGGCGAGGGUAAGGGUGCGCGGGAUGGAGGCGAGGCGAGCCGCCUUCGCCUCCGCUUCCGCCUCCGCUGCCCUCUUCGGAGAGAAAGAAAAAAAAGAACAAAAGAAAAAAAAAGAGGAGAGAGAAAAAGAAUAAGAAUAUUUUGGUUAAUUUUUUGAAAAUUCGGUCCAAAUUUGCAAAAUCCAAAAAGGCAGCCUACUAUUGCAAAAGCUUAAAACUUAUAGAUUUUUUAUGCAAAUUGGCCUUUUUAAAAUUGCGGUUAAGUUAUAAUUUUAGUCUCAAAUUUUUAAAUUUGAUGUUAAAAAUUCAUACUUUUUUAAAAUUUUAUUUUAGUACUACUGAAAAAUAAAUUAAUAGUCUAUAUUUAAUAAAUGGAAAAACUUCAAAUACCAUUCUUGUUGUUUUACACUUUCUCACUUUAGCACUAUAUGUUUUAAAAUGUAUCAAUUUAUUGCUGAUGGUUUUAUUUUUAUCUUUUUAUUAUCGAUUCCACUAAUUUUUUCGUUAAAUUAGUGAGAAAAUUAAAACUAAAGGGUAUUAAAGUGAAUAUUCAAUAAAUCUAGGUAGAGUAUCUGAAGUUUUUUGUAUAUAAUUUAACGAAAUAUUAAAAGAAAAGCUGACAAAAAGAUAAAAAUAAAACCACAGAACACUAAUUUGAUACACUUUAAACCACAAGUUACUAAAAUGAGAAAGUACAAAACCACAGGAGUGGUAUUUAAAGUUUACCCUUAAUAAAUUGUAUAUUCGGAAAAUAAAAAUUAGUGGAAUCUACUGCCCUAGCAAAUUGUUGGAGUCUGGGUGCCCACGCAGUGUCAAUCCCAAAACAAGAGCACAUAUAUAUAUUUUUUAAAAUAAUAAAAGAAGAAGAAAAAUAAAUUUGAAAAAAAAAAACAGAAAUCCUAGUUCUUCUUUAAUCUCUCUUUUCUUUGUUUCAUUUUAAAUUUGUUUUUUAAAGGAUAAAGAAAUAUAAAAUUUAGAAAAAGCAUAAAAGAAAAAAGGUUUAAAGUACAAUUAGAGUUUUUAGUUCUUAUUUUAUCUCAUUUUUUUUUUUAACUUUUAUCCAUUUAACAAAAAGAAAAAAAAGAUAAAUUUUUUUAAAAAAAAACAUAAAAGGAAAAAAAGAUUAAAGCAAGGUUUAUCUUUUUUAUUUAAAAAUAAUAGUAAAAAGUAAAAGGCCAAUUUGCAUAAAAAAUCCACAAUUUUUGAGUUUUUGCAAAGCUGGGCCGCCUUUUUCGAUUUUACAAAUUCGAUCCGAAUUUUCAGCAAACUGACAAAACUACCCUUAUUACUUUUUUUCUUUCCUCUUUUGUUUUUCUCUCGUUCAUUUUUUUUCUUCUUGUCGAAGAAGGCAGCGGAGGCAGAGGCGGAGGCGGAAACGGCUCGCGUCGCCUCUCACCCUCAUGCCCUCGUCCUCGCCCGUGCACCCCCCCGCUUUCCUCGCCUCCAAUCCCGCCGAGGCUACACCGCGGCUCUUUUUUUUUUUCCCUCUCCGACCCUCCUCCACCGUCUUCGACGAUGAUUGCCUCUCUCGCCCUCUCUCGCCCUUCCCCGCCCUUCUUACCCUCUCUCUCUUCCUCUCCCUCUUUCUCCGUUGUUUUCGACGACAGCACUUUUCCGUCGACGCCGACGCCGCGGAGGUCGCUGCGGCGUUGCAACCUCGGAGUGGGGGAUCCUUAGCGGCAUUGUCGCCGGCGCCAUGGCCAUUGGUGGAGAGGUAUGACCCCAAAAAAAAAUUGUAGAAAAAAGAAGAAGAAAAAAUAAAGACAAAAAAUUAUAGAAAAAGAACGAUAAAUUUGAAAUUGCAUUGUUAAAAUAAAAUUAUACUGUUUUAAAAGAACGUUGCAUUAUUAUGGACGUAAGUUGCAAUAUUUGAGAUGUAAACUGUACCCUAUAAGAUGAAAAUUACACUUUUUAAACGAAAAUUACACUAUUUGGGGAGUAGGUUUUGUGUGCUAUUAGGAGCACGGAGGCCUCCGUGCUCCUAAGCCGUUUUUGAUUAUAGAGCUUCCGAAUCAACGAUCGGUUCCGUUAGACUUGAUCUAGCGUAUUUGAACUAUCUAGAAAAUAAUUUUUGUGAUUUUUCGGUAUCAUUUUCCUAGCAAUCGAAAGGGUUCAAAAUCAACAAAUUUUAAUGGUUGAUGUAUACCGUUUGCCAGCUUAACGGUGUAGAAGUAUUCAAAUCAGAUAACAUUUUGAUAGAAAAUUCUUUAUACUAUUUACAGCAAGGUCAAUAUGUUUGAUCGAAAAUUUUAAUACUAUAUCAUCACUUUUUGUGAGAUUUUUAAUUUCAGCCGUUGAUUUUCAACCCUUUCGAUCGUUAGGUAAAUGAUAUCGAAAAGUCACAAAAUUUGUUUUCUAGAUACUUCAAAUAUGCUAGAUCAAGUCUAACGGAGCCGAUCGUUGAUUCGCAAGCUCCAUCAUCGAAAACAGCUUAGGAGCACGGAGGCCUCCGUGCUCCUAAUAGCACACAAGACCUACUCCUAUUUGGAAGAUAUUUAUACUGUUUCCCCUUUUAUUGCACUCUUUGAGAUGUAAAAUGUAUCCUUUAAGAUAAAAUUACUCUCUUUAAACGAAAGUUACACUCUUUGAGAAAUAUUUACACUGUUUCUUUUUUUAUUACACUUUUUGAGGAAUAAACUGCACCUUAUGAGAUAUUUAUAUUGUUUUUCCUCUUGUUGUUCUGUUUCUCCUCUUAAAGCAGGGUGUAACAAGAAGAGAAACAGUAUAACAAGAGGAGAAACAAUGCAACAAGAGAAGAAAAAGUAUAAAUAGCUCUCAAACAGUGUAAAUAUCUCUUGCGGGGUACAGUUUACAUCUCAAACAGCGCAACAAAGAGAAGAAACAGUGUAAAUAUCUCUCAAAGAGUGCAAGUUUCAUUUAAAAAGUGUAACUUUUAUCUUAAAGAAUGCAGUUUACAUAUUAAAGAGUGUAAUAAGAGAAAAAAUAGUAUAAAUAUUUUUCAAAGAGUGCAAUUUUCGUUUAAAAAGUCUAACUUUUACUUUAAAGAGUGCAGUUUACAUCUCAAAUAUAGCAAUUUACGUUCAUAAUAGUGUAACGUUCUUUUAAAACAGUGCAAUUUUAUUUUAACAGUGUAAUUUCAUCUUUAUUUUUCUUUUUUUAUAAUUUUUUGUCUUUAUUUUUUUCUUCUUCCUUCUUCUAUAAUUUUUUUUGAUCAUGCCUCUCCGCCAAUGGUCACGGCGCCGGCGACAGCGCUACUAAGGACCCUUCGCUCCGAGGCUGCGGCGCUGCAACGACCUUCACGGCGUCGGCGUUAGCGGAGAGGCAUCGUUGUCGAAGGCGGAGGAGGAGAAAGGAGAGGGAGAGGGCGAGAAAGGUGGGGAAGGGCGAGAGAGGGCAAGAGAGGCGUCGUCGUCGAAAACGGUGGAGGGUCGAAGAGGCGAGGGAAAAAAAAAAAAAAAAAAAAAAAAAAAAAACAGCAGCGUUAUAGUGUUGGUAAAACUACAUGAGCCCCCUCAACUAUAGUAGAUUGUAAAAGAGCNNNNNNNNNNNNNNNNUCUUCGGCGAGAGUGAAAAAAAAAUGAAAGAGAAAAAAAAAAAAAAAAAAAAAAGGUGAGAGAAAAAGUAAUAAGGGUAUUUUGGUUAGUGUGCUGAAAAUUCGGACCGAAUCUGCAAAAUUGAAAAGGCGGCCCAAUUUUGCAUUAGCUCAAAAUUUAUGGAUUUUUUUAUGCAAAUUGGCCAAAGUAAAAUGAAAUUUAAAAUAUUAUAUGUAAACUCUAACGGUACUAUAAUCCUAUUUUCUUAAGAUAAAAAUAAAAAAAUAAAUUGAAGAAAAAGAUAAAAAAUACUUAGUCAGUGCAGUAUUUAGAGGUUAGAUGCAUGAGUAACUAUAGCAAGAAGUUAGUUGAUUCACAUAUAAGAAAAUUCAAACUAAACAAAUUUAAAGUAUGGAUGGUUCAUCAUUUUCUCUUUAAAAAUAAUAGUGAAAAAAUAAAAUGAAAUUUAAAAUAUUAUAUAUAAAAUAUUACUCUCCUUUAAUCCUUUUUUCCUUAAUAAAACAUAAAAGUUAAAAAAAAUAAAGAUAAAAGAUUAAAAUAUUUAGGGGUUAGAUGAGUACCUACGAGAAGAAGUUACUUGAUUCACGUAUAAGAAAAUUUAGAUGAAACAAAUUUAAAUUUCUAGAUUGAGUUUUAAUAAAUAUGUUAUAUUCUCCAUUUUUGUGGGCUUGGACUGGACGUAGUGACAUAGAGGCAGUUAGAGUGUUGGAAAAUAAUAAUCCUAACUUAAUCUAAAAUUUAGUUAGAGAUAGAGUUUAUCUAAAUUAUAAACUUAUUAUAUUUAAAAUUUAUGUAAUUAGAGUAGGAUUUGUAAUUAUCCAAAGUAAAAGUUAUGACUUCACAUCUAUAUAUAUAGCUAGGUGUGGAUUAAUUAGAGGAAUCAUGCAACCACGAUAGAAAUGACUGCAUAAGGCCGAGGGUGUCACAUAGGGUGUAAUUAGAGACUUUUUAUUAAUAAGAAAAAACUUCAAAUACCACCCCUAUGGUUUCGCACUUUUUCACUUUAGUAUCCUAUAGUUUAAAGUGUAUCACUUUCGUACGCUAUGGUUUUAUUUUGUCACUUUUUGUUAUCCCUUGGCCAUUUUUUUGUUAAAUUAGUGAUAAAGUUAAAACAAAAGGGUACUAAAGUGAAUAUUCGAUAAAUUAAAGGAAGGGUGUUUGAAGUUUUUUGUAUAUGAUUUAAUGAAAAAUUAACGCAGUGGCUGACGAAAAAAGAAAAAUGAAACCACAAGGUUAGUAUUUGAUACACUUUAAACCACAGGAUACUAAAGUGAGAAAGUACGAAACCACAUGAGUGGUAUUUGAAGUUUACCCUAUUAAUAAAGUAUUAGUUUAGUUAUCUUUUUUCUCCUCCAAUAUCUCUUCUUCAUAUUAGUUUGUUCUAUUUUUAUCCUAGAUUACAUAAUUGGUAUCAGCACCAACAAUUCGUAUCAGAGAAAAUCACACUUCCAACAAUUGGUAUCAGAGUUGGAAAGUACCGGGCGACUUCUAAACCAGAUGAUAACAAAUCUAAAAAGAACACAAAACUAAUGUACCAGAUAGUUACGUCAAAGUUGAGUGACUCGUAGCAGAUUAUCGAAGGUGACGUUUAAGUGAAACCAAAGCGAAAGAAUCACUUUGAAGAAGUUGGCUUUCACACAACACACGAUAGCCGGUGGUUGCAACGCUUGACAAAAAGAAAACACUGAGAGCCCGUGAAGAGAUAAAAAAGACUAGGCAAGCAAGCCAAAGUAUGAAAUACUCAGCGAGAUCUCGAUGAAAUAACAACGUCGUCCAAGUAGAAAGGUACAAGUCUGAAACUUAAUUUUUAGAUUUUCAAGUUUUGUUAUGGAUUUAGAUUGGUUUACUCAACCUUAUUUACCAAAGUUCGAUGGAACAUAUUUCAAAUGAUGAAAAAUGGCAGUUCGAUAUUUUUUAGAUUUCCAAAAUUUAUGGGAUGUCGUGGAGAAUAGAAAUUAUGAAAAAAGAAUUUGGUAAAGAUGAAUUUAGUGAAAGAAAUAGAAAAGUUCUAUCAUAUAUUUUUCAAAAAGUGGAUCUGUUGUUGGUUGGAAAAUUUUCAACGACUAGGACGGCACGAGAAAUGUGGAGAAUGCUAGUGAAAAUUGGAGAAGAAGUGUCACGCCUCGAGGUCCCUUUUUGAAAGCCGAUUCAAAAUCGGGUUAUCUUUAUAAAUCAGAAUAAGCGAAAAACUACCUAGUUUUGUUUUAUAUUAAAACCUUGACCCCCAAGGGUGCAACAGACCAGCCACAAAUACAGAAAAUUUUUGAGAAAUUGACAGAGUCUUUUCUAUAUUUGCACGGCGUAGUACAAGUACAAUUGUCAACCAUGACCUCCACUCACACAAACAAUAAUCAUGAGUCACAAAGAUUAUCAUUUCACAAGUUUCACAUCAUACAGCUAGCCAUCCUUAGUCGAAACCAUUCCCCAAUCAUUCACAUUCAUCCUAGAGGUUGAAAUUGUCUCCCACAUGAAAUUUUUUUUUUUUAAAACUAUAAUUUUACAAAAAACCUCGAGAAAGCGAUUUAAAAGUGUUUCCCACACAGAAACCAUUAUUUUGAAAAUGCUACCACGAGGGAUAGAAAACCAUUGAUAAAAUUCGAGUCCAAAACCACAUAUGUUCAAAAACCACAAAUGAUCGAAACAAUGAGUAUCCAAAACAUAUAAAAACAUCAUUCAAAAAUUCGCAAGUAUAAAACACCAACUGAACCACAAGUAUCAUCUACUAUCAGGUGGAGGGGUGAACUAUACUAUCACCUAUAUGUCUAAUGUUAUGUAUGAAGUAAUUAAGAACGUGUAUCGUAGGUCGAGACCUCUAUGAGCGCCCACUAGCUGCGGCAUCAUGUUACGUCCCGACCAAUCCCAUCCACGUCACCUGAAAAUGUGGGGGGUGAGAACAUUUAAACAAGUCUCCCCCUCCCAGUGGGUACCGCAAGCAAACGAGGGCAAGCUGUACCCACCAGCAGAUUGAGGGAUAAACAACAACAGUAACAAGUAAAUCGGGCAUGAUAACAAUAAAUAACGUCCACCGAUAAUCACUAAAGAAGCUACUACUGUAAAAUGAGGUAAUAAAGCAACGACCAACUAUAGUCAACAGUCAAACUAGUGCAAUAGCGAUGGUAACUGAACUGACAACAACCAUAAUAAUGAUAUGAAUAAAUGCUACUGCAAAGGGAGAUAGAGAAAUGACUAUGCGUCAAUUACAACUGAUAGCACAAGUAUACCCAAUCUAUACCACCGUGUCGGUCUAAGGACCUCAAGCAAACCACAACUGCUCUCUUUGGCAUAUAAUCCAAGCAAAUGGCCACCGGGCUAAUGGGUUGGCAACUAACCACUUUUUCGGAAAAGAACACCCUCCUGCGAAGGAUUAGCCCACUGGUGUUCGUGAAAUACUAUCGAGCUGUGGCGAUCGAUAUAAAUAUAAUCAAUAGCCAAAGUCAGUGAAUAGCCGACAAUCUCCGCCCCUCAUGGCACAUCGAUCAAUAGGUCAUCGAAUUGUAAAGGAACACGAGUACCAACCACUCAGGUCAACUAGGAUUGAACAAUUCAACAUCCUCUCAAGUGUAUGCAAGUAUCGACUACUCAGGUCAAUAAGGAAGUAUGAGAUCAACAAUGACAAUAGUAUAAGGGAACUGACCACCCUAGUCAACUACGAUGUAUCCAUGAGAAUCAACCACUCAAGUCAACGACGACGCGUUCAAAAGGACCGACUACUCAGGUCAACCAUGGAGUAUGCACAAGAAUCGAUCACUCAAGUCAACUAGAAUAGAUAAGCUCAGCAUCCUCUCAAGUAUACGAGUAUCGACCACUCAGGUCAACUGAAAAGUAUGAGAUCAAUGACACUAAAAGUACACAGGCACCGACCACUCAGGUCAACUAGAAUAUAAAUGCAAGUGUCACUACAGCUCUACUUCUAUGUCAUGACAAAUGGGAGAGUAUACCAAAAAAAGUAAGGGUCGAAGUCAUGCGGUGAAGAACUCAAGUACUGAAUAUGUCUAUAUGAAAGCAGUAAAAGGUAGGGAUGAAGAGAACAUCACCGAGCGUGCAUGCCUGAAUCGACUUCAGAUCGAAUUACCCAUCUAUAUUUGUCCCCGCGUCUAGUUCCUACGAGGCGAGGGAUGCCGAUUGGACCUACGACAGGUCCACUAAGUUAGGAUCUAAUCCACAUGACUUAAAACACAUCGCUCACAAACCUAAAACCGCCCACGAAAUCAGUUUCCCAAAACUGAUCCCCAAACUUGCUGGGAGUCCUGAAAAUGCACUGGGAUAACCCUGGGACCCACGAGACAUCCCUAAACACACCGACUCACACCGGGAAUCACCCGCUAUCCCAAAACACACCUAUUUGGGUGUCUAGAUAGCAAACAUAAGUCUCCAGGUCAACCCGUUCGUCGCCGACAGACCGUUCACCAUCGGGCUUUCGAAAGUGUCCAUUUUGGCACUGGAAGCCUCUGCCGCUCGUUUUUCGCCUCUGAACACAUGAGGCAACCCCCGGCGGCCAGCCAACGAGGCUAGGCGAUGAUUUUCAGGGUGAUCACGUAGUCGAAUACUCAUCACGAUGCGAAACCGAGUUGUACCGGCGAUUUUGCCAGAAAAUGCAUCAAAACCCCUCCGCCGCUCAUCCACCACCUCUGAUCUUUAAAGGUGGUGGUACCAACCAGCGAACAAGGCUUAGCGGGGCCUUUAGGGCAUUCGAAAGGCCAACGUGCAAAAGCAGCAACAUAAAUCGCGUCUGAUCGGUGAAUUUUUGCAAGCAACAUUAUGGGACCCCGUUUCCACUCCGCAACAGCUCCCGGACCUUCGACGAUUAGUCAAGAGUUGCUAAUAGUGAUUACACGCUUUUUGAGGCUCUGUGCAGGGUCUUCAUCGCAUACAAUAUGUAGUUGGCCUACUAAAGCAUUAAAUACUAAUAAAACAAUACACGAAACACGAGUUUCGAGCUCGUUAUCCUGAUCCACAUCACAGCAGAUCCAUCCAACCAGUCGAUUUGAUUCAUUUAAAUGAGAUGAUGCUCGUGCUCACUGUUUAGAGCACGAUCGACUACCGAGGAGCUUCGUGGAGCCUUGUCAAGUUCAAUACACGAAGGUCUUCGGGAGCGGGGAAGCCAAAUCUUAGUGAUGCAGCGUCAAUGACAGCAACGGAGGUGGGCAUGACGUUCAGCGAGUCAAGGAGUUCGCCGUGCUUGCCUUCGGAAAGAUCGGGGAGCGUUGAAACACUGUGAAAUGCAAAAGGCCCACAUUUGAGCCCUAGCUCAAAGUGCAAGAAGCUCAGAGGUUCCGACUAGUUGCUAGCAACCUACGGGUGCGCGCCCGGCUGGAGUUGGCGGCGGAAGAGGAAAAGAGCCCCGGGCUCCCCUUGGCCGGCAGCAACGGUGACGGUGUGAGGCUCGCCCAGCACAAAAGCAAGCUGGGCCGAGCCUUACACGGCGGCGUCCAAGGAAGGCAGGGUCGAUGGUGGUGGUCCUUAGGGACUGAAAAAAGACGGCAGAGGAGGCCUAAGGCGGCAACGGCUGCGAGGGGAAAUGGCGGCCUCUCCUCUACCCGCAGCUUUCUGAGGGGUCGCAUACAACUUGCGGAGGCGCCGGCGGUGCUUAGUGACACUAGAGAAGCAUUGCCAGGCUGAAAGGUGUCGAGGGGGAGGCUGAGGAUUGGGAGGGUAGGCUCCUAUGGCUCAGGCUUACAAGAUAGAGAGAGGAAGGGAAGAAGAGAGAGAGAGAGAGAGAGAGAGAGAGAUAUUGGCUUCUCUCAUUCUCCGGCAGUCAGCGGCAGCCAUGGCGACGGUUGCUAAUCCCCACAGGUGGCCAAGGAGAAGAGGAGAGGGUGGAUCUAGGGUUUGGGUUCCAAAAUCCCCAAAUCCACCCAAAACCUAUAUUCCCAAAAGAAUAAUCACCCAAAACUCCCUCAACUCUUAGAAAUAUGUUACAGUCCCUCUCCAGCAUCUUUCUCUCCUAGAAAGAUCCUCGCUUGUACGCUUCCAUGUAGAACGAAGAGCUAAUUGUGUCAAAAAAGCAAAUUCAAUGCGGAAUAAAAGCCAUCAUAGCGAUAAAACCUAUUUUUCUCAAAAACUGUGUGUCAAACAUAAAAUCUGUUGGCGCCAUUGGCCCCGAGAUAGUCGGACCAUCGAAAAUGAGCUAUUGGAUCCCCCAAAACGGAGUACGAUUCAUAUCCGAAGCUGACCUCUCUUUUCAGUCACUAUCGAAAACACAAGUUACUCACUACAACAAAAACGGUGUAUAGCGACACUUUUAAAUGCCGAUACAGUUAAAAAAAGUGAUGUUGGCUAAAUUACCGACACUUUUUAAAAGUGUUGCUAUAUGUGAGGUCGCUAUAUGUGGGGUCACCUCGAUGUUUGCCACCCACUUCUCUAGUGAUCUGUGGCGGAGGUAUACGUGGCGAUCGUAGCCCUCUACGGUUCUUGUGAAAUCCUCGCGGCCAAACUCCAACUGCCCGAACCCUACCUCGUCGACUACGGCGGUAGAGGAGGAGAAGGCGAGAUGGUGAUCAAUUUUUUCUUUUUUUUCUUUUUAUUUGUAAUCGGGCCGAGUAAGCUGGGUGGGGUUGGUUAAGUGGAGAAACUUUUUAUUUUUGGUUGGAUUGAGCUUUAUAUUUAGGCCUUAGUAGAUUUUUUUAAAAAAAUUUGGCAUAAAUGGGACACUUACACAAAAUCCUCGCCUCGAUGUUUGCCACCUACUUUUCCAACGACCUAUGGCGGAGGAACAUGUGGCGAUCGUAGCCCUCUACGGUCCUUGGGAAAUCCUCACGGCCAAACUCCCACUGCCCGAACCGUACCUCGUCGGCUACAGCAGCAGAGGAGGAGAAAGGGAGAUGGUAAUCAAAAUUUUCUUUUUUUUCUUUUUUAUUUGUAAUUGGGCCGAGUAAGUUGGGUGUGGUUCGUUAAAUAGAGAAAUUUUUUAUUUUUGGUUGGAUUGAGCUUUAUAUUUAGGGCUUAAUAGAUUUUUUAAAAAAUUUUGGCAUAAAUGGGAUACUUACACAAAAAAGUCCAAAAAAUGAGUACUUAUAAUCUAAUUCUGUUGUAGUGACUAUUCACUUUAAGUGAAAAGUAAUAAUCGCGUAAAAAAUUUAUUCUAAAUCUUUUUUCGCUGAAAUUUGACAGGCCAAUUUAAAAUUAAAAUACAUACGAUAACAUUUAAAAAGUUGUCAAACAUAUAUAGAAAAAAAAAUCUCAGUCCUCACAAGAAGAUUUACAUGAAGAGAAAGAUAUUCAAGAUGAAAAAGAAAUUCAAUCCAACAAUAAAGAUGUAGAGGCCCCAAUUUGCAAAGGAAUUUAGAAAGAAGAUUUUGAUUAAAAUCAUGAAGAAAAUUUGAUUCACGAAAACUAUGCCGAUGAUCAAAACGGUGCAACAUGGAUCAACGAGAAAGUUCACGAUGACGAUAUGAUUAAAAAAUUUUCUGUCGAUAAAGUAAUUACAUAUCCAGUCAAAGAGGAAGUUGACUCUUUUUCUAAUAUUAUUGAAAAGAACACAUCAAUUAAUAGUAGACAUGGCCGCAUAAGACCAAGGGUGUCACCCAGGUGUAAUUAGAGAUUUUUGAUUAAUAAAGUAUUAAUUUGGUUAUCUUCUUCCUCCUCCAAUAUGUCCUCUUUAUAUUAUUUUGUUCUAUUUUUGAUAGAAAAUCAUGCUACCAACAAAAACGAGGUAUGGACGGUUAUUUGAUGAAAUCAUUUCUUCUAUUUUUUUUAAAAUAUGAAUUCGGAUAUGAAUAUAUAUUGGAUACUAAAUUUUCGUUCUCAUAUCUGCUAAAAUUGGAUUCGAAUAUGGUCGAAUAUUUUUUCAGAUUUGAUAUAGGUUGAAUAUAUUUUCGAAUUUUAUUCAAAUAAUAAUAUACACUUAUAUGCACAAAUAAAUAUGUACUGGAAUUAGCAAAAAUAUAACUAAAGUUUUACAUUUAUGUUCAAAUUUUUAUAUACUUAUUAUUUAAUUGAAUAAAAUCUAAGAUUUAAUAAAUAUAAAUAUUAUAGAAGCAAUUACUGAAAGGUUUCUGACUUUCUUAUUUAUCUCUUUUAGAAAGUUAAUAUUAAAAAUAUCUUUUAAAAUUUCAAAAUCUUUCAAAUAUAUCUUUUAGAGUUAAAUGAAUUAUGCUAUUAUACUAUCUAUAAUACCAAGCACUUACUACUAUCGAGUUUUCGACUGUUGGAUGAAAGAAUGUGUGGUUAAGAUGGUAGUGGAAUGUGCAGUUAGGAUAAUAGUGGUUCUCGGUUAGGAUAAUACUGAUCUCCUAGGGUUGAGUAGGUGGUUGGUUGAAUAGUAUAAUUUAACGGGUGGAAAUGAUUAAAGGAUAGAUCUAACGGCAAAAAAUUCGAUUUUACUAAGAGUUUGGUACUAUCGAUAGUAUAGUAGCUGGACUGAAGUUAAAUUAUGUAACAAUCGAUAUUUCUAUAAAAUUAUCAUUUUGCCCUUUCGAAUAUACUUUUUCUUCUACUAUCAAAAACUUUUCUUAUUUGCUAUUAAGUUACAGACAAAAUAAGUAUUUUAAUUUUUUACCUUUUUACAUAUACUCUUCUAUCAUCACAAACUUUUCUUAUAUAUCCUUGAGCUAGGGGUGAAAAAAAAAAGAAUCACAUUUAUUUUCUCAAAGCAUAAAUUAUCUUCUUAAGGCUAUCAAAUUCAUCCUUAUUUCCCUACAUGUAGCAAUUAAAUCUAUUUUUCUCUCAAAAAGAAAAAUUAACUCCUUAUCUCCCCACACAUAUUAGUAAUUAAA